GAACCUAACCUGUCAAAAAAGACCUACAUUGUACAAAACAACCAGAACCAUGAACAACCAACACAAUGUUGAAAACAUUAUCGAAUCCAACCAAAACACUGUCGUAAACAACCAAAAUAACCAGAACCAUGAACAACCAACACAAUGUCAAAAACACUAUUGAAUCCAACCAAAACACUGUUGAAAACAACCAAAAUAACCAGAACCAUGAUUUUACUGUCGAAAAAAGCUUCAAGAGAAAAACAUAUCGUGAGAGCAAGAGUGACAAUGAUAUAUACACCGUUAGCAAGAGUGAGUUCAACAGUGACGACACUGUGAGUGACACGACAGUGGUUUCACCGUGAGCGAAGAGUGGUUUCAGCGCCUCGAGAGUGAGAGUGAGACGGACAAAAGAGGGUUUGUGAGGGAGACGAGCUAGUCGUGAGGGAGACGAAGCAUGAGGGAAAGGCGAGUGAACUACCAGAAGCGUGAAAAAAAUUAUAAAUAGGAUAAUACAACGUCGAUUUUUUCCAAAAACCGAUAUCAACAAACUAACGUUAACAUCGAUUUUUUGGAGAAUCGAUGUUGACAAAAUCACGUUAUUUACGAUUAUGCCACCACAUUUUGGUUUACAUUGUUUUUAACGAUGUGAAACGUAAAUUUUGUAAUAGUCAUCAGAAUUUGGCAUUGCCUUGUGACUUGUGAGAGAGUGUAAUGUGUAACCUUGUGGUUGAGAUUAUAUUUAGGGUAAAUAUCCAUUUUGAUCCUUAAAAGUGUGAGGUGGUUAUAAAUUGAUUUACAAAAGAUGAAAUUCAAAUUUACUUUCUUAAUAUGUAAAAAGUGCGAUAGAUUAAUCUUGUCAUUAAAUUUGUAAGGCUAUUUUGUCAUUAAAUACGUUUAAGGAUCAAUUUGACAAUAAAUUCUAUUUUUCUAAAAAGGUGUAAUCUAGAGAAACUUCUAGGGAGUGUAUUUUUUUGGGCAUAACUAGAAUGAAAAAUAAAAAAUAAAAGGAGAGUGUAUAAGUGGGAAGCGGAGAGUGGGUAUAUUAAUUGCCAAAUCCAAUUAGAAUAAUUUGAGCUUUUAAAGUCCACUUCACAAAUAAUCCAUACAAAAAUAAAAAUAAAAUAGAUAAAAUACAUUAAAGAAUACAAUAAAAAAUGCAAUUAUAAUGCAAUGAAACAAAAUUACCUAAUGUAGAGAACUUAAGCGUUGCAGUUAUCAUUAAUUCUCUUUAUCGUUUAUAGUAACUUUAUUCUAAUUUUAUAAGGUAUAUAUAACAAUAACAAAUAACAAAUAAUAUGAAUGAAUUGCUUUUAAAAAACGUUAAUACGAAUGAAUUUGAAAACGGUUAUAUGUGUAAGAAUUAAAUUUGUUAAUUUAAAACAUUUUUAAUUAAUACGGAGACCGAUUAAAGGCACAGUGAACUUUAGAAGUAUUGUUUUCGGACCACGAUAUAUAUUUCGACAUGCCAAUAACUAGCAACAGAGAAACAUCAAAUCAAGAAUAAUAAUAAAAAAAAAAGUGCCACGUUGAUUCAUAAUUAAGAGAAAAUAGUCAUAAAAAAUUGUUCUAUAGGUCACACAUCCUUAGAUAUAAAUUAUGAUGAAUUCUCUGCCCAACGAGGAUUAUGUCAACAGUACAGGGACUACUGAAGUUAGUCUACUCUUCACAUAACGUGGGUAUCAUGGUGAUGAAAGAAAUAACGUUUUACUCAUAUCCUGGGCUCCUAGUUUUUAUUUUUAUUUGAGUAAAAUAUGUUUUUAAUUUAUGUAAGAAUGACUCAAUAUGAUUUUUUCACUAAUUUUUUUUCGUUAUUUUGAUUUUCAUAAUUUUGUUAUACAAAAAUCUCAUCAAUAACAUACAUCUAUUUAUGUUACAUUAUAGUAUGUUAUAUCAGAAUUACUAAUGUAAUAUGAUUUUAUAUACCACAUCACUAUUAAGCGGUGACCAAAAAUGGUUUUUAAAAUUUUAAAAUUUAAAAGGAUUAAAAGAAAAUAAUUCUUUUUGAAAGAUCAUAACUAAAUAAAAUUCUAAGAGUUUUUUUUUAUUCAGUAAGAAAUCAGUCAUGUCCUUAUUACUUACCGAAUUAAAAACUAAUCUUAUUAUUUUUAAAAAAAAUUACACAUAAUAAUAAACAUAAAUUAUUAUAUUAAAUAAAUUAUUCUUACAUGUAAAUACAACUCAAUAGAAUUUUAUAUCAUUACAUAAUUCUUUGAAUUAUGUAAAAGAAUUAUAUAAUGAUAUAAAGUUGGUAACUAGUUCAAAGAGACUGAAGUAGGUCAAUGACUUCAAGCGACAAGUAACUAAUACACAGAUUGAAUAAUUUAAUUUCUUUAUCCACAAAGUAGUUGGUAUAUACACGCCAACAUGUCGGUUUUCACGCAUAAUAAAUGAACAUGAACUAAAUCUCCAACAUAUAAACUAAAAACACACUUGUAUUGAUGAGAGUUAAUAACCAAAGAUACUCAAUAAAAAUUAACCAUUUUUUUUUGUUUCCCACAAUGCUUAAGAUUUAAAGCAUUAGAAACAACCAAGGAGUUUCUUUGGAGCUGUUCCAGUUGCUCUAUACUUUGCAGCUUGCUCCUCUGCCUUAAGAAGAUCUUCCCCUUUCUUUGCCUCAAUUAUUGCUCUUCUUUCUUCAGCUUCCUUGUGGAUUGUAGCAAUUUUGUUUUUUAUUUUCUCUGCAGCUUCUGCCUUUUUCUUCUCCAGUUCUUCCUACUCAGAUGCAAAAAUAAAAAAAUAAAAAAAGUGAACUUUAAUUUCUUCUUCUCUUUGGGCAGAUUCAAUAGAGAAAUAAUCACAUGAAACCAAGAUUUAAAAUUACAAAAAAGAAGAGAAGAAAAUGAACACAUAAAAUAUGUUAGAACUACUAAUGAAAUCAAUUCUUACUUCAAUCUUUUUCAGGUCCGCCUCCACUGCAGCUUUCUUACUGUUUUCCCAUGCAGAAACUGAUGAAAGCUUUUUGUGAGCCCUGCUUAACAAUUUCAUUUAAAUUAUUAUCCUAGACAUUGUUGACCUCAAAUAUUCAUAACAUGUGACCUCAACUUGAUGUUAGGUUGAUUAAUCACCAUGAUUAAGGUGACUCAAUUGAAGAUUCUAACUUUUGAACCAAAGGGUGUAGAUUCUCACUUGUUUUCAGCUUUUGAUUUUUCACUUUCUUCCCAUGCUUUGAUUAAUGACAACCUCUUCUCAGUUGCAACUCUUGCAAGCACCGCAUCUGAAGACAAACGAGGCAAAAAUUUUAAUGUCAGGAUACAAAAGGGUACAUAAAAAGGGAAUAUAGAUGUCAUAAUGUAGACAAAUGAUAUACCUCGGUUGAUAGAGCCCUCAGUUGGUUUCACUUCAGCAACUUCUUGAGUCUCUGGCAAUAACCAAAUUAACAACAAUAAACAAAACAAAAACAAAUGUACAGACCAAGGUUAUGUUCAUACAUUUAGUGAUGAAACAUAAGGUUAUUUUUUGUUGCAAACUAUUGCUGGUCUGUUACUAUAACUUAGUCCCAAGGUUUAACAUCGAAAGGAAAUCAAUCCCUCAAUUGUGAAUGAACAAAACUCAUUCUUUGUGUCUUUUAUGAAGUUAAGAGAAAAGUAUGGUAUUUAUUUUGAGGAUAAAAUUGAUUCUAUUUGAGUAAUUAUGCAACAAAAUAUAAAUAUUUUGCUGUAAUUCUGCUUCAAUCAAUCAAUGAACUGGACAGCUCAUAUUUCCAAUUAGUUUUUGUUGGUAAAUCCGUAUACUCUCCUCUAAAAGUUUGCGUGGAUGAAAUUUUUAAGGAGGUAACUCUGUUUUAAGUCACACACAAAUAAGCACUAUGAAGAUUUGAACCAACACACAAUACAUCACUAUAAAAAAACUAAAGAAUAGUAAUGCUUAGAAAAAUUCCAAUCAUUAAGCCUACUGAAGUUGUAAAUGGAUACAAAAUAUGGGUAGAUUUGAAUUUGCGGGUACUUUGGCCUAAAAUGUGAAAGGUUUUGUAUUUUGCAUGAAAGCUGGACUCCUAACAAGCUUGCAAUUGGAUGAUAGUAGUUUAAUAAGUUUAUGCCAAAUUACGUUGUACUAGGCUUGGAUUUUAAAGAAGGACCACUCUGUUUGCUAAUAGAAGUACAAAGGUGCAGAGUAAUUUGAGAAUAAUGUUUUGGAUUGAACUACAGCAGGAAAGUUCCAGCAAAAGUGAAUAUGAAAAAAUACAAGAAAACACAAUCAAGGACAAGAAAUAACUGAUAGUCAUAUAAUCGAAUAACAUGAAAAAAACGGGUUAGGAAAUAAUAAAAAAAAAAUUCAGAAAUUAAAAUCAUUGCUCACUUAUUGUUUAUAAUUAUUUAAGAGAAAAACAACAAAAUAUUUAUAUUGCUGCCAGAAGAUUCUUCUGAGAAGAACAAGGAAUAUGGCACGAAACUUUCAGGAAAAUCAAGUCCAAAACCAGUGAACAACCAUGCAAUAAUUAAAAAGAAAUUUCAAAGAAGCAGAAGGAAUUGUCAAUAAAAAAAUCUCUUUCUUUUUCUCUCAAACAGUUAUAAGAUAGUAAAAGUAAAACACCCUUUGCAAUAAAGAAAGCACAAAUUAAGUUCUUCAAAGAAUUAGUUAAUUAACCAAAUGGAUUUUAAAAAAAGAAGAUAAAUAAAGUAUAGAACAUAUGCAGAGAGACUCCAACAAAAAAUUGCAGAUAGAUUUCAAUUUCUUUUUCUUUUCUUUAUCCUCACCAACCAUAUAUAUAUAAUCCCAGCUUUGGGAACAUGACAACAUAACCAACCAGAAUCAACAUUAUAAUAUCUUACUCUCAACCAAGACAAGAGCCUUGGAUUCAUCAGGCUUGUCAUCAGAAGAAGGCACUGGAAUUACAGAUUUCUCCUCAGUCACAUCCUUUGGAGCCUCAGGAACAUGUUCAGCCUCAGCAGCAGGAGGAACCUGUGAAGGAGCAGCAGCAGCAGGUGGUGGUGUUACUGAUUCUGACUCAACCGUUUUGGUUUGUUCUUCUGUCAUUUUUUUUCUCCUAUGAAACUCAGAACUCUGUGGCACUCAAAAGUGGUAAACACACAAAAAAAGGUGUAACUACACUUUCACUUAUUUAGGAAAAAAUCGACACUUAUUGUGGAGUGAGUCAGAGAGAGAGACAAUUGAGAAAAGGGUUUUGAUUGGAUGAGAUAUUAUAGUUGGAGGAAGGUAACUGCUUAACUCUAAGUUCCAAAAGCUUAGCUGUGUGUUAGGUACUUGUGGCCUCACAAUGCGUUGGCACAGUAACAAUAUAUAGAGACCAUUGAGGACUAUGAAAGCAACACAUGCUAACAAUUUAUGUAUAGAAGCAAAUGUAAAAUGGAGGAUAAACCCAACAAAGAGCUCAAUCACCAUUCUACGCCUGUUCUUGGUGGGUCCUUUCAUUAAUUUCUUCUUGAUUCCACUAAUGACAUGAUUUUUUUCCUACCAGUUUCGAUACAGAAUUAAAGAAUGGUGGGAAUUUUAAUGGUACCAUAGGUGAAUCAAAAUAGAGUAUGGUACUUUGGAUUUAAAAUAGAUAAAUACGUAGGUACAAUAUCUGAUUUUUACUUAAUUAGAUUUAUGGAUUUACAAAUUAGAUAGAACUGGAUUGAACCGGAUAAAUAGUGAUUCGUUAUAUUUUUAGUUGUAGCAUUGUUUGGUUUGACCAUGAAUUUUGUAAAUUAAAUUCAUUAAAUUAUUCAUUAAGUUAUUUUUGAGUUUUUAAAUAAUUGUUCAGCUCACAAUAAUUUGUACUAGUAUUAUUUUACAUUUAUUUAAUUGAUUGCUGAGGCCAUGAAUUAUACCUUUUUUGUUUUUUUUUAAUUAUAGAAUUAUACCUUUUUUGUUAUUUAUUUACUCACAGUUCAUUUUUUAUUUAUUUAUCAGAUUUAUUUACAGUUCAAAUAAGGACAGGCUAUAUUAUAAAUGAUUUGUAAAAUAUUAAGAAAAAUGUAUUGGAAACAAGUGGUAAUAAGUUUUACAUGAUAAAAUUUGAAAGAAAAAAAUUUAAUAGUACAGUAGAACAAAUUCAAUAAUAUUAUCCAUUUUUAUUUUAUGGUGAGUAGGGGUGGCAAUAGGUCAAGCCGGCCUACAGGAGCCUACGACCUGACCUACAUAAAGUCUGGUCUGAGCUGGCCUAUUUAAUUAAAAUGGUAGGUUCAGGGGUUUAUAUAUAUAUAUAUAUAUAUAUAUAUAUAUAUAUAUAUAUAUAUAUAUAUAUAUAUAUAUAUUAUUUUUUGGGUACCAAUAUAUAUCAUUAUUUUUUUGGAUACAAUUAAUUUUUAAAAAAACACUAUCAGACUUUGAUUACACAUUACUGCUUCAUAAUUUCUAUUCCUAUAAUCAAGGACUUUAAUUACAAUUUAGGUGUGAGUCAUGUGCCCUUUUAUAUUUCUCAUUAUUUUGAUUGACUUUCCUUUUUCUUUAACUUUCCUAUUACGUUCCUACUCCAUAAAAUAUUAAAUAUUUAUUGUGAAUAAGAUUUUUAAAAAGGUUAUCAGCUCAGGCCAGACUUUUAAAAAGACCAGGCCGAGUCAAAAUAAAAGUCUUUGGUAAAUUAUAGGUCAGACUCAGGCCUCAAAGAUUCAUCGCUAGGCUCAGGCCUUUCAAAAUCUGGUCUGACAUGGCCUAAUCAACUUGGUGAGCAAAAAAGGAUUCACUUUGCUCCUAGAUUUAUAUUUAUCUAAAGUCCUGAAAUUUGAUUUAUGCCGAAAAAAUUGUAUUACUUGUGUCAUCUUUUAAGUGCCGCUAUAAAUUCUCAUUAAAACUUGUGAUAUUCUUAUUAACCUUCAAAUAAGGAUGCACUGCAUUUAUUUAUGAUAAUCGACUCCCCUAUGUGAUUACCCUAAGAUUUGAUUCGCAAUAAGACAAGUAGGAAGCAUACUUCUUCCACCGUUGCACCAACCUUUAAGUUCUAUUUUUAUCAUCCACACUUAAUUAUAAUUUUUUUGUAGUUGAAUUAGUGCAUUAAUAUUUUGUUGUCAAUUUGGAAUAACUUGUUUCUGUUUGGAAGAUAUUCCUUAAUUUCUGAUCGCUUUGUUAGGGAAAGUAGUAUUUAAUUAAGUAGUCAUGAAUUGUUGGUAACUCUUUUGUGUGGUUGAUAGUUCACGUCAUUAUUGGCAAAGAAAUUUGUGAUAAAUACAAUAAAGUAAACCAACAUUAUUAAGUCAUCACCCCUCAAUUAAUCUAUUGAUUGAUGAUGAAAAUUGAUUAUUCAUUGGUGUUUUCGUAUUGGUCAAGGUUACACCACAUAUAAACACAUAAUAACGUGCUCUAAAUACCUUGCAGAAUGGGAAGUCUUCAUCUCAAAAUUUUAUAUAUUGAAUAGUUUAUCAAGAUUCCUUCAUAUCGUGCACAAAAUAGAAUCUUUCGUGUGAGCUCACCUUGUCAAAGACUUGAAGGAAAAUUCAUCAUAGCUAUCCCCACAAAAGACAACAUCAUCAUGUAUCACAAUCAGUCUCAAAUCAACCGAGACUCUCAAUCAACCAAGUUGGUUUCUUCCUCAACUUAUGAUAUCUUAUUAUCAAAGCUUUUUUAUAUUUUAGAUUUCAAUGUUAUGAUUUUGAAACAAAUCUCACCUAGAUAUGGUAGGUUUAAAAGGAUGAGCUUGCUUCUGAUUUAUCUCAAUAAAGUUGAGCUUCUUUGUUUCAACAUAUAUUAAUUCGUGUAAUCCUUUGGUCAUUUCAAGGUCAAAUUAAUUUUAAUUAAUUGAAAAUUAUAAUCAUUCCAGAUUUUGAUAUAUUUUAAUUAAGAAUUUAAAUAUAUUAGGUAAAUUAUAAAAGUAGUUUUACUCGUGUUAAUUGUAAGAAAAAAAAUAAUUUUUGGUCAAUUUAAAAACAUGUUUAAAAUUGUUAUAGUAAUUAGGUAAAUUAUAAAAGUGUUUUAAUAUUAUCCAUAGAAGUUAAAAAUGGUAGUUUUAGUUGUAUUUUCCUAAAAAAAUCUAAAUACUCUAUACUGUAAAGUUCCUUUUUAAUUUUUAACUAAAACAACCCCACACUAAUUUUAAAAUUUUAGCUUUGAAGUGAUUAUUAUAAAUUAGUUUUAUCAAAUUAACAAAUUUUCAGUGCCUUAAAUUUUAUGUAAAAUAAAUAAAUUUGUUUUUUUAUGUCGUAAUACAAAUUAAUGUCAACUAAUUAGCUGAUUAAUUGAGCAUAAGUUGUUUUUUUUUCAAAAAAAAAAAUAAAAGUAUUUCUAAGGUUGACAUAUUUUUACUUUUUUUUCUAAUUAAAGUUAUAUGGAUGGUUUGUGAAGGAACACAUCUACCAUCUACGUAGGGAUGCAGCUUUUAUUAGAGCUUAAAAAGGUUUCAUAUUCUUUUAUGAUAAUUAUAAUUCUUCCAAGGAAAAAAUAUCACCAAAUAAUAAUAAUAAUAUUUUUUCGUUUUAUAGAGUUAACCAUAUCACCCUUAAUUUUGUUAUCGAUGAUUAAAUACGUCAAGCAAAAUCAUUUUUAGUUAUCUCUUCCCAAAACCAUUAUCCAGAGUGCGUGUUUGGGAAUGUGUUUAAUUUAGACACAUGUAUCUUUUUAUUUUCACGUCAAAACGUUGUAAUAAUGAAGAAGUAAAGAUUAAUUGCUUCAAAAAUUCAUGUCACGUUACACCGACAACCAUUUCCAAACACUCUAUGUUAACCCGAAUGAAUGCUUAGAGAUUUUGGUAAAUUGGCUGGUGGAUUCAUGUUUAUGGAAAAUGUAAAUAUGAUAUGCUUUGUUUCAAAAUUUUGUUGAUCUCAUGUUGUGGGGCUGGUGUUGCUUCCCCCGACCUGCUUCAACGGUUUAUCCACCUUUUUUUUUUAUUUGAUGAGACUAUUUCCUUAUUCCGGUAUCAUAUGCAAAUUGGAGUAGAAUUAAGUUAAAGUAGUUUUCUUUUUAGUUACCUUCUCUUGUAAAAUCACGAAACAAACGAGUGUAAUGUGGAUACCAAGUGUGAUCCUAAACCACGAAAAUUAAAGUGAUAGGUCCAAGAACAAAAAAGAAAAAAUAAAAAGGUGGGUCGAACAAACAAGUACAAAUUGUAAAAUUGACAGGGAAAUUGUCGCUAUAUACCCCCUUGCCUUGCACACUGUUUUAGUGAGACAAAAAACACCUGUUUGCUUAUUCCAUGAUUCCAUCCCUUUGUUUGUAUUCGGAAUUGCACAUGCCGUGUUUCAUGUUUGGACUAGAAUUUUGGAGAUGGUAAGAUUCAUUUUUGGCCAUUCAGAACAGUAAGAUGGGAUAAGUACCAUUUGAAUUGGAACUCGGACUUUUAAGCCACCAAAGCAAAAAUAUAUCAUGAAUUAGAAAAGGAAAAUUAAAUCAAAGAAAUAAUACCAUAAUAAUUCGAUAUGUUGAGAAAUUGCACACCCUUUUGUAUUUCGGGAGUUUGGUGUGAGUUUGUGUUUGUGUUUUUCUUAAUGAUAUUCAUAAAUGUGUGCCUUCAAAAAAUGUUGAAAAAUAAGUGAACUCUUGACAAAACCUAUUAUCAUUAAUUAUUAUUUACACUUAUUUGAUAGUUCAUUUUAGUAACUUUUCUUCAAGGAUAUUUUCAGGUCAGUUUUCAUGUCAAAUAUUGAAAUUAAUUGUCUGAUAUACACCCUUUUGUAUUUUGGGAGUUUGGUGUGAGUUUGUGUUUGUGUUUUUCUUAAUGAUAUUCAGAAAUGUGUGCCUUCAAAAAAUGUUGAAAAAUAAGUGAACUCUUGACAAAACCUAUUAUCAUUAAUUAUUAUUUGCACUUAUUUUGAUAGUUCAUUUUAGUAACUUUUCUUCAAGGAUAUUUUCAGGUCAGUUUUCAUGUCAAAUAUUGAAAUUAAGUUCUUAUGUAUCAUUCAUAUUUGUCUGAUAUGUUUAGAAGAAUUAAUUAACUUCUUUAAUAUUGAUCCAAAAUAUAAUUUUUGGGUCAUCUCUUAUUAAGGAUGGUUAAGGAACUCGUGAACUGGUUUAACAUAAGUAAGGCGUGAGGUUCAUUAAUUAAGGAAGGGAGGGUGGGAUAGAGAGAUUCUUUGAAUCUUGAUUUUAGGAAUAUAUAUAUAAUUGCAAUUUUCAUGUGACAUUGCUAUGUAACACAAUUUCUUUUUUAUUGUACAGUUCAUAACUAAAAAAAACCUCAACCUCUCCAUCGAUUACUCCACCAAAAUUUCACAUUUUUAUGAUCCUGUCCUUCGCAAAAAGACACAAUUUAUCUCAAUUCUUAACAGAGUAAAGAAAAAAAAAAUAUUUGUAAUUUAAGGAAAAGAAACAUGACCAGUGAAUUUCACUUGGGUCACUUGAUGUCCUCCAAAGCUAAAGUUAUUCUUCAAUGUAAUUUACAAGAGUACGCUUCUGAAUAAAUAUAACAGUUUCUAAAUAUAACAGGAAUGUUCAAUGCCAUCACAAGUAACAAAUUAAAUUUAAGCAGCACACAAGGGCAAAACUGUAAGAGAAAGUGCAAGUAAGAUUUGUCUUGGUUUGUUUAUAACUUGUGGUAUGUAUUCACUUUACAAGCAAUCAUUCAAGAUUUUUGUCAAAGAAAAGUGAUGUGUUUUCCUUACGAGGAUAUAAUAGCAACCUUUUUUGUACUUUUAACUCAGAAAUAGAAUAGAAAUAAUGUAUAGAUAACUUCUCUUAUAUUUCAAUUGCUAUUAUAGAUAAAUUUUAAUGGAAAUCAAUCUACAUGUGUACUAAAAGGUAAAAUUAUAAAUUUGGUCAUUCUAUAGUAAAAUUAUAAAUUUGUGGUCAUUCUAUAGUAAAAUUAUAAAUUUGGUUUUCGUAUAAUUUAAUGUACAAUCACGACGCAUGUCCUCAAUCCUAUUACUUAAGUUCUCAAUUCUGAAAUUCAACUUUGACCGUUAAUUACUUAUUUUGACGGUCACGUAUCAUAAUUUUAUUGGACGUUAACCGUCAUUUGUUGUGAUUUUUAUUGGAGGUUAACGUUAAUUAGGUGCACAAAAUUAAAGUCCAAUAAAAUCGCAAUAUAUGACGGUCAAUGUCCAAUAAAAGGGUGACGCGUGACGGUCAAGAUAAACAAUUAACCGUCAACGUCUAAUUUUGAGAUUGAUGACUAAAAUAAUGGGAUUGCAAAACACCUGAGGACUAAAUUCGUAAAUUAAAUUAUAAGUGAUCAAAAUCAAAUUUUGAGACAAAUAGAAAGAUCAAAUUUACAAUUUUGUCAAAUAAAAUAUGAAAAUCAACCACUCUGAAAAGAUGUGUUUGUAGGUACAUAUAUAAGAUAAUAAGAUGAUAUACAUUUUCACGCUUAAAUGUAUAGAACACCGACAAAUUUGUUCAUUAAAUAUAAAAAUUUAAAUUUUAGUCCCUAAAAGUAAAAAAAAAAAAAGUGUGACAAAUCUAUUUAUCUAUUAAUUUCUAUCUAUUAAUUUCUGUCUAAUACAGUUAAUGAAAAACCUACUUGACAUUUUCAUGAACAAAAAUAACUAUUUAUCCAAAGUAUAAUUUAAUUUUCAUCUUCUUCUUUUUAUAAUCCGAACAAGAUUAUAAUAUACACUUAAAAAAUAAAAAUAAACACAAAUAAGAACAAACAUAUUCUAAGUCAUGCAAGGAUUUUUAUAUCUAUCAAAGGUCCUAAAGCCAUUGGGCUAUCCAAUGCAAAUUCCUCAGUCCGUUAUCAGUGGGGAAAAAAAAUAGUUUCCAUUUAUUCACGCUAGAUUUGAUAUUGGAAUCGCACUUGUCAUCUUAGGAUGAAUAAUUUUUAAAAAAAAUGAACCAAACAUGUCAUCUUUGGUUUUCACUAUUACGAAAUUACUGAAAAUAUUUUAUUUUUUUGAAAUACAACUUUUAAUCUAUUAUAAAUUAUAAUUUUUGUAAUAUUUUUGCCACCUAUUAUAGACAACCUAUUUUGAAUAUUCAUUACAAAUAAUCAAUUAUUCAUUAUACAAAGAUUAUUCUUAUUAAUCAAUGUUGUGUUUAUUAUUAUGUUUGUUCUAAGUUAUGUUUAUUUUAUUAUUUUUUUAAAUAUUUAUUGUAAUGUGAUUACAACGAUUAAAAUAGGAGAAAAAGAUGAAUAUAAAUUAUUUUUAGUAAAUAUAUAUUUUCUCCCUUGAAUAUGUAGAUUGUUGAUAAAUUCAUUAUUAAAUGCUCCACCUAGACUUUUUCAUUCAUGGCAACCCACACAAGUUAAUAGACGGAUUGAUUUGUCGUACUUUUUUAACUUUCAAAGACUAAAAUUUGAAUUUUCAUCUUUCGAAAAUAAAUUUAUCAACACUUGACCCAUUUAAGAAAAAAAAAACUAUUUACUCAUAAUAAAAUGCUAUUUAGAUAGUAAUAUACCACUUGAACUAUGAUAUUACAUUUGUUCCAUUUAUUUUAUUGUGAGUGAAUCCAUAUCUUUAAUUUCGGUUUUUUUGAGCUUCAAGCAUAAAUUGUGCAUUUUGAAGUUAGUACUCUUAUUUCAUUGGAUGCUGUUCUACGCCAAUGACUCACGUACCAGUUUUUGUUUUUUUUUUUUUGUUUUCAUUUAGUGACAAAACAUUUAAAGAAUGCAUCUAUCACUAUAAUUGUAGAGAAGAAAACCCACGUGCUAUAAUAAUCAUUGAGAUGAAUUUUCUCCCAAGCAACGGGCAAGCUAGGCAGCAUAGCCAUUAAUUAAGGUUUGAACUUUGAAGACACCCUUUUUCAAAUUAUUUAUAUCUGCUUUCAUCCUCAUAUAUACGAAGUUCUACACCUUAACUUAAAUUUAAUCAAACAAUGAAUAUGAGAACAAGUAAGUAAGUCCACACGUACUUUCAUAACGAUGAAUUUGAUCCUUCACUACAAAAAAGUAAUGAUUUGUGGUGGCUAAAAAUAUAAUUUCUAGUGACUAAAAAUCAUCGCAAAUGAUAAUUUUAAUGACUCAAAGUUGUCAGGACUAUGUUCAUCACAGACAACUUUUAACGAAAAAGGCUUAAAAGGGUUUAAAACAUAUGCAACGGACAAAAAAUUGUAUUGUGCUUAAAAUAGAUUGUUUCUUUUUUAGAAAUUGAAUAAUGAUAUCCAAAAUAUAGCACAAUUCAAAUUGAGUCCUUAAUCCAAUCUACAAUAACAACAAAUAUUACACAUGAAAAAUUGGUUAAAAAAUUUAUAAAAUAAUUUGAUUUAAACAAUGUGAAACUUAAUAGAAUUAAGAAAUUUGUAUGUUGUCAUUAAUACAUAAUAAAAUCGUGUCUCUGUUGUAUUUUUUUACACUCACUUACACAAUGAAAAUUUCGUUGUGUAUUUUGUCAUCAAAAUCAUGAUUAUGUCAGAAACACCUUUUCAAGAAAACAAAAUUUAAAGCACAUGGAAGGGGACUAAAUAGAAAAUUCUGAGGUGAGAAUAGUAGUUCCCCUGUAAGAUCUAUUCAUCCAAGUGAGGCCCAAUAUUGAAAUUUUGUUAUCCCAAAUCUUGCCAGAAAACAAAACAAAAUGGCCAACCCCGGCCUUUUCUCCAUACAGUAUCUAGAUUUCUUUUACAUCCAAUAUUUUUUUGAAUUUUUUAAAAUUAUCCUUGCUAAUAAACAUAUGGAUUUGUUACCCGUAUUGUCAAUCUGUAUCAGCUAAUUUUUUUUAAAAAAAAAUAAUUUUUUUUAAUAAAUUUAAUUAUAGUUUUUUUUAUAAUUAUGACAUUAAGUAGACUUUUGUUUCCGGUCCUAUUACAAUUAAUUUUGAUCUAAUAAUAUAUUUUUUUACAUAAAAAAUUUUAAAUAAAAAUUUAUAUAUGUAAAAAAAUUAAUUAUUAGAUCAAAAUUAAUUAUCACAAAAUUUAUUAUGUAAACUUAUAUGUGCAUUAAAUAUACAUUAUAAAUUUUAGUAUUAUAUAUAGUGAUAUUAAUUAUUUUAUAACAUAAUAAGUUUAUUAGUUCAGUUGGUUAGAGUGUUAUGCUAAUAAUGCAAUGCAUACGAAUUGUUAAACUGUAUGGAUCCAUACGGAUUGUCAAUACAGACCCUUCUGUAUGAGCCUUACAAAAGAACGUUUUUGAAAUUUCCUUCUCAUUGUUGGGUGUAGAAGAAAAACAGUUGGUGCAAAAAGAAAAUCCUGUCAACUCCUUUGCCAUUUAGCAACUCCAGUCCAAUCUCCCUUGUUUGUUUCUAGUGCUAGAGGACCCAGAAUCAACUUCAUCUCCUAUACUUUCUCACUACUAGAAAUACGUGUUUUUACGAUGCACUUACGACCUCGGUCCAUUGGCGUCGUCAUAGUAUAUCGAACCGGUGGCAUUUUGGUAAUAUUGUCUUUGAAAACGAAGACGAUUUUUACAAACACCGUCAUCGAAUGACUCGAACAACGACGGGUGAAGGAUAACCAUCGUAGAAAUGAGACUUUAAAGAUGUUUUGUACAUACACUAUUGUGGAAUGUGCGUCGUUUAAUUAAGGUCAUGGACCCUUUCUUUGAUAGAGUCACCCUCGAGUUUUGGGUUACCCUUGUGCGUGCAUGAUAGUGUGCCUUCACUGACCUUGUUGUCUCCCUCACUGACCAGUCAUGAUACAUGUUUUAUGUGUCGCCCCUUGUCGUGCUGGUAGUGUUUCGACGACGAAGUCUGCUGGCCUCGUCAUUGUCUACAUUCGACAUUGAAACUUGGGUUUGUCUUACUCUUUGGUUUUGGAUUCCCAUAGUAAUAAUAAUAAUGAUAGGUUGUGUGAGUUGUUGGCAUAAGCAGAAGAAGUGGUUGGAGAAACAAAUGAUCUGAUCGAGAAUUGAGAUGGGGAUGGAUAUUUGACCUUCUCCUUCUUGUUGCUCACUCUAAUGAAUGCCAACCGCAAUUUAAUUGAUUUCAUUUUACAAAGAAAUAAAGGAACAAAACAAACAAUUUCAAUUUGCAAGCUAGGAUGAAGAGCUCUCUAAAAAAAUUGUGAGGGGUGGCACUUGACAAUCACAAACAUGCAUCCUCCAAGUCCACUCAGCCUCUGGGGUAGAUUGACGAGCUUGCUUGGGCAACCCAGGCAUUUAUUUUUUAUUUCUAUUCUUGCAGGAAAACUUGUCCUCAUGCUUGGCAAAAUCCAGUUCAAACUACACAAACUUGUGUUUCAUCAUGUCACUUCCUAAUUCCUUCUGUCUAUUCUUUCGUCUAUUUUUUUUCUCUGUUUUUCAUCACUCUUUCCUAUCCCCUUUCAGCGUUCUCAUACAUUCCACAAAAUUACCAUUCCCUCAGACUCUGUCUUGAAUGAACUUCAAAUUGUCAAGGUGGCUACCUUAAAACAAUUACUACAAAAGUGAACAAUCGAAGACUAGAAAGGAACAUACACAUUAUUUUUGUCAAUCUACUUAAAUGUUAUUCAGGUGAGAAAAUAUACUAAUGUUGGAGGGAUUUGGGAUACUUUAAACCCUACAGGUUUAGAUUCCUAUAAUUUCUGAAUGGAAACCUAUUUUCAUUCCAUUAAAACAAAAGGUUGAAUCUUGAACAUAAUAAAUUUAAGAUGUGCCAGCUUUGUUUUAUCAUUUAUCUAUUGAAAUUAUGGAUGUCAAAACAUUAAAUCUCAUAAUUGUAGAAACUGAGCUCUCGUUUCCUUUUCUGUCUCAUGCAGCUACUGUGAGACAUGAAAUUUUAGAUGAAACAGACCAUAUAACUAGCAAGACAAAGGCAAUUUUAAACGUUCCAACUCAAGUGAGCAUAUAUUCUCCAAAUGGUAUUUAUUUCCAUUACCCCUUAAUAACAUCACAAGUAAUUAACUUACUUUAAAAUUUUGUAACAUUGUCGUGGGUGUUCCUUUUACCAUAUCCCUCUUUCUUAUUGAACAUUUUAUUGUGGUAAAUAAUGGUAGCAUGUGGGUUGAAGUAAGGAUAAAAUUUGUGUAGUUAAACUAUUCUUCUCUUCUAUAUGGUUUCUUUCCCUUUGAACUAGUGUGCUGGAUUAUUUUUUUUUCUUGUCUAACACAUUAUAAUUUAAGUUGUAAGUUUCAUUUUUGAACUGCUUGCAUUAUGGAUAUUGAACAGUAUUUGUAGCAUCGUCCAUCAAGAGUCAGUCGAACAUGGUGAACACAUGUCGGACUCACUUCAACAUUGUAAAAACAAAUUGGAUACUAUAAAUUUUGUUGUUCCAUAGUGUCACUUGAAUCUAAAUAUUUCACUGCAAGAAUAUUCAGAUUCAAGUUACCUUAUUGGAAAAAUUAACUUGAACUUUUUCUUUUGGUUGCAAAACAAAAUGUUUCUAAUACACACCUCCUAAUUAAGAAUAUGAAACACAAAAUUCUCCUUGACUUACAUGGAACACUUUGAUUUUAGUUGCAUAACAGGUUUACAUGGUUUCAUCUUGCGGUUGUGAACUUAAGCCUCAUAGACCUUCCUAGGUUGACAAAGGUUGUUGUAGGUAAAGUUUCACACAUUUCAUAUUAUUUUAAACAAAAUGGAUGUAAUUUUGAAAGGACUCAUCUAAAUGAUUAAAGAAUAACAAAGUUUGUGCUUCUUUCACAGAGGGACAAUCAAACACCAUUGUUGAAGAUAUUGAGAACAUGGUCCGUUCCUAUGUUGAGAAGGUAAUUGUACUUCUAAUAUAAGAAGAAAAAUCAGAUUUGACUGAAAAUUGUAGUAUUAAACAACUAAACAAGCAUUCUAUAUGACCUUCACUAAAUCAGGGCUAUUGAGGAUGGAAAUUAAGUCCAUAUACUACAAACUCCCUCAAAGAAAGUACCAUGUUCUGGUAACCAAUCAUUAAACUUGAACACUAGAAAUCAUAGAUAAAAACUUAUACUAUUGGUUCCUAAGAAGAAGUGUUUAUUUCAAUCACCUCUUUCAAAGUGGCCAUCACCAUUUACUCAUAAGUUAUAAAUUAUAAUCAACCAUAAAUUCAUUAUUAACCUGUUUACUUAAAACUCGUCGUAAAAUGCCUGUAUUCUACAACUGACUUUUAAGUAGAAGCCGUCGUUGAAUUUACUUCGUGUGGAAGUUGGUUGUUAGGGAACUGUCGUGAAAAGUCAAUAUUUUUUCUGAUACGGCCUUCAAAGAUAGUUGGCAACCAUCAUAGAAGGCCCCAUUCCACCGUCGUAGCUAGAAGCCCCAAUUUCUUCUAGUAGUGUCUCUUUCACUCGUUUUAGUGUGUGUGUUAAAAUUGAGGUGACAAAAUUGAUUUUAAAUAAAAUUAAUUUUAAAUAAUUGGUUAUGAAGUAAUUAGUAACAUGACUUUUAUUUGGAUAACAAAUAUAAAAAAAUGACUUUGAUAGAAGUAGAAAUUAUUUUUAUUUGUUUCAAUUUCAUCAUGAUUUUUUUAUUAAAAUUAAUUCUACUAACAAAAAAUACUAAGCGUCACACCUCAUUAAUUACAUGAAGAUGAAAAUCAUAAUUGUUCAAUGUAGAUUUCACACUAGAUAUUGUUAUAACAAUAACAUGCAGAAAUUGGUUUAGUUGUUUAAAGUGACCAGUUAAACUAGUUGUUUCUUAUACUAAAAUAAUCAACAAAAAUGUUCUUUAACGAAUAACGACUGUGCAAUGCAUGGUUUAUAUAUUGGAUUCAUUGUUGCAUCUCAUGCAACUCAAAGUGAACGACAGGUUCCAUAUAAUAUUUUUGUAUUUGAUAAUAAAAAAAUUUAACUAUUAAAAGAUUCGUUAAUUUUUUUUAUAAUAAAGUAUUACGUACUGCAUGAUAAUGAUGAAAUUAUUUUAUUGCUAAAAUUGAUCAAUAGUUAACAUUAAAUUAAAGCACAGAAAACAAUUUCUCUAACAUCUAAUGUUAAUAUUUGCGCAUAAAUGGACAAAAAAAAGUAAAGUUAUUAAACCAUCAAGUUUAAUAAUUUUUUAAGAGAUAACUUUAUUUAUUAUUAUUCUAGUGAUAACAACGAUAUAUAAACCAUAACAAUAAAGUAUUCAGCAAAAAUAAAUCAUAAUAAUAGAGAAUGAAUUCUCAAGAAGAGUUGUUAAGGAAAGCAAAAUAUAUAUAAGAAAUCAAGAGAGAGAAAAGAAAUAUGUUAAAUGAGGUCUACACCAACUUCAAGCAAAAUGGAAAAGAAAGUAAGAAAAAUCCAACAAUAAUGUCUUAAUGUGCAAAGUCUUAGGAGGAUUGAAGGGAAAAAGGUCGGUGAUAGGGAAUUGAGCUUGGUAGAGUAAAAAAACUAUCUAAGGAAAAUAAAGCUAAGUUAAGUAGGAAUUUGUUCUCCUCUUGAUAUUAUUUCUAUUUCCCCUUUAUAUAGCCUUCUUUACAAGAUAUUUCUCUGAUUUUGUUAUAACAGAAAUUUGAAAUUAGUAUCUAAGCAGGUAUUGAAGAAAAACGUGGGAAAAUGAAAAAUACAACUAGCAGAUUCUAGAAUAAGCCAAGUUAGACUUGCUGCCAUCAAACGAACUCUUUCAGGUAAAUGAGCCUGCUUGUAAUAUGUUUUGGUCUGUUUGUUGUACUGCUAUUUGCCACUUCCAUUUCCUCCUGAUUGGUUUUACUAUCUGCAACUAUGGUAUCAUACUGCAUAUUGCUAUCAACACUCGCGCCUCUGAAAAUAACCUUGUCCUCGAGGUUGUACGUGUCCUUCAAAGCAGGCCAUAUUUCCUAGGAAGCAUCUUUUGGGGGUAAUCAUGUCCACUGAACAAGCACCUUGCAAACAGCAGGAGUAACAGAGGUAUCCCAUUUCCAGUCUAGAAUGGACAAAGGGGUGACGAUGGGAUGGUGAUCUAUUGCUUCCGGAGGAAGAGUAGUCUCAACUGUCGGGAGGGGACCCUGAUGAAGCUUUAGAAGAGAAAUGUGAAACAUGGGGUGAAUACGGGAGGAGGGAGGUAGCAGCAGUUUGUAGGCGACAACUCCAAUACGUUCAAUCACCUGGUAUGGGCCGUAAUACCACUUUGAAAGCUUGGAGUAGUUGGAGGCCAUGGAUGUCUGGCGAUAAGGGCGAAGUCUGACAUAAGCCCAAUCGCCCACGGACAGCUGAAGAUCACGGUGAUGUUUAUUUGCAUUGAGUUUCAUUGUUUCCUGAGCCUUGCGAAGCCGGCACUGGAGGGUGGCGUGAAGUUUAGUACGGUCCGUUAAAAGAGAGUCAACGGCGUCAAUGGUCGAUGUCCCGCGAACAUAAUCGGAGAUAGUAGGUGAUGACUUGCCCUAGAUGACUUCGAAAGGAGUAAAACCUGUGCAUGGAUUGUGGUGUUGUAGGACCAUUCCGCAAUGGACAGAAAUUGAAACCAUUGACUCGGCUUGUGAUGGACGUAAGAAUGAAGGUACUAUUCUAGAGUACGAUUGACAACCUCCAUCUAGCUGUCGGAUUGAGGGUGGUACGCCGUACUCAUUCACAACUUAGUACCGCUAAGCCAAAAGAGUUCUUUCCAGAAGUGGCUGAGAAAAAGUGCAUCCUUGUCGGAGACCAGACUCCGAGGAAAUCCAUGGUGUUUACACACCAUCUCCAUGAACAGAGAAGAAACUUUAUGGGCAGUAUGUUGAGUUGGGAGAACGCCAAAAUGAGCAGCUUUGGAAAAACGGUCAACCACGGCAAGGAUGACAGUGUAUCUGUGGGACGCAGGGAGACCGGUGAUGAAAUCAAUGGAUAAGUCCUCCCAAAUUGCUGACGGGACAGUUAGAGGUUGAAGUAAGCCCGGAGAUUUCUUCGUCUCAUAUUUCGUCUGCUGGCAAGUGAGGCACUGGGACACAAAUCGGCGGACAUCAGAAUGGAUGUUAGGCCAAUCAAAGUUCUGCCGGAGGCGGUGCAAAGUUUUUGCAAUUCCAGUGUGGCCGCCGAGAGGGGUUGAUUGGAACUCCUCCAUAAGCAAGGAGGUGAAAGGAUUAGGAAAAGGCAACCAAAUGUGUUUCUCUCUGAAGAUUAACCCCUUGUGCACAGAAAGGGAAGGGUGUUCAUCUGGGCGGGACUGAAUUUGUAAUACCAGGUCCCGAUAUUGAUUAUCCUCCAUUAAACUAGUGCAAAGCUUAUCAAGGAAACCGAAGUGUGGUAUCGUGAAGGAAAGGUAUUCACCUGUAGGGAGGCGUGACAAUGCAUCUGCCACCACAUUAGAAGAGCCCGGCUUAUAUCGGAUAUCAUAAUCAUAGCCUAGAAGUUUCGUGAGAUAGUUCUGCUGCUCUGGUGCUUGGAUAACAUGCGUCAUGAGAUCUUUCAGACUCUUAUGGUCUGUAAGGAUGGUGAGCGAAGGGCCCAACAGAUAAUGGCGCCACUUGCAGACGACGACAGUAAUAGCAUGAAGCUCUUUAACAUAAGCCAAAGCGCGCUGCAGACGAGGGCAUAAAACUUUGCUGAAACAUGCGAUAGGAUGAUCUUGUUGGAGUAGAACUACUCCUAUGGCUAUCGCAAAGGCAUCCGUUUCGAGGGUAAAUGGGAGAGAAAAAUCAGGUGUGGCAAGGACCGGAGCCUGAGUCAUUAGAGACUUAAGAUGCUCAAAAGCGGUGGUCGCCUUAGGGAACCAAAGAAAUUGGUUUUUUCGAAGAAGGGAGGUGAGAGGAGUUGUUGCUGAUGCGUAACCUUGAAUAAACUUGUGGUAGAAUCCCGUCAAGCCGAGGAAACCACGGAGGAUAGUGGUGGAGGUAGGUAUCGGCCAGUCCAACAUGGCUUGAACCUUAUCAGGAUCAGGAGCAAUGCCCCUGGCAGAGAUUACAUGGCCCAAGUAAUUGAGUUAGGGUUGAGAGAAAACGCACUUGGGUUCCCAGAGAAAGAAUUGGCGCGCCACCAAGGUAGAGAGCACGAAAUCCAAGUGAGACACAUGAGUGUCCAAGUCGGAGCUAUAUACAAGAAUAUUGUCAAAGAAAAUGGCAACACAUUUACGCAAGAAUGGCUGGAGGGCAUCAUUCAUGGCCGCCUGAAAAGUUGACAGAGCAUUACACAUUUGAAUUCAUAAUGGCCUUGAUGCGUCUGAAAAGCUGUUUUAGGGAUGUUUGAUUCGGCCAUGCGGAUUUUGUGGAACCCCUGCUACAAUUCGAGCUUCGAAAACCAUGAAGCUUGCCCAAGGUCGUCUAACAAUUCAUCAAUGGUAGGCAUAGGAAAUCUGUCCUUCAUCGUGAUGGAGUUCAAAGCCCUAUAAUCCAUGCAACAACGCCAUGAACCAUUUUUUUUUCUUAACGAGGAGGAUGGGUGAAGAAAAUGGGCUAUGGCUGGGUUGGAUCAGGCCGGCCGCAAGCAUGGAGGAGAUUUGGGAUUCAAUCUCGGCUUUUUGGAAGUGGGGAUAAUGGUAGGGUCGGACAUUCACAGGAGUGAAAUUGGGAAGAAGGUGAAUAUGGUGCUGAAUAUUGCGGGGCGGAGGUAGGGUGGUUGGGUCAAGGAAGAUGGCGGAGUAACGGUCAAGGAGGGUGGUAAUGGAUGCUGGAAUGGGUUGGGGGUGGGCGGGGCAGCGAAAGGAGGGGGGCAAAUUUCCCUAAUAGGGCUUCUUUUACAAACUAAUUCCGCAAAUGGGGCUAUUUUAAAACAAAUUCCAACAUGGGGUUGUUUUACUACGUAAAACCCAUGCAAAACGCCAACAACAAUGGCGAAAUCUCCUCGUGCAAACACGUGGCAGUGGACUUGCCACUGCAGCUGGCGAGAAAGGCAAAACGCCACUGCUGAUGGUGAGAUAGCCAUGCAACAGUGGUACCGCCAGUCCUAGUGGGGAUUUUGGUGCAACAGUGACACGUGUCGUAUUUUGGUUUUUUGUACCCAAAAUUAAAACAGGUAUGACUUUUGAUAGGAAUGUCUGUUUGAGGCCCAUAAUAUGUCAAAAUGCUCGAAAUUGAAUAAGGAAUCCCCUGGAAAAUUCCUAAAGGGUAUUUGGUCAACUCAUUUUUCCCAAAAUAGGAUUUAAGAUUCAACCAACCGAUUUUUAAUCUUAAAUCCUAUUUUUGAGCUACUUAGAGGCUAUUUUUAAUCUGAAAUACGACACGUGUCACCGUUGCACCAAAAUCGCCACUAGGACUGGCAGUACCACUGCUGCAUGGCUAUCUCGCCAUCAGCAGUGGCGUUUUGCCUUUCUCGCCAGCUGCAGUGGCGAGUCCACUGCCACGUGUUUGCACGAGGAGGUUUCGCCAUUGUUGCUGACAUUUUGCAUGGGUUUUACGUAGUAAAACAGCCCCAUUUGCGGAAUUAGUUUGUAAAAGAAUCCCUAUUAGGGAAAUUUGCCAAGGAGGGGUGGGUUGGGCCAAGGCUGGUGUGAUAUGGAAUAAGGCUGAGAUGUUGUGGUUUUGUGCGAAACGUUUUAACUGAUGUGAUGAGGCAAGUGUGGGUGUGGGGGGUGCAUCAGCAAUUAGGGUAACUGUGUGGCCAAAAUAUGGAAAGUUCAUGGUGAGGGACGUAUAAUCCGUGGUUACCGGGCCUAGAAUCUUCAGCCAUUUCACUCCAACACAAUAUCGACGCCACAGAUGGAAAGGUGAAAGAGGUCUAGGGUNNNNNNNNNNNNNNNNNNNNNNNNNNNNNNNNNNNNNNNNNNNNNNNNNNNNNNNNNNNNNNNNNNNNNNNNNNNNNNNNNNNNNNNNNNNNNNNNNNNNGGGGAGGGAAAGUGUAUUAGAAGGUUUAGGGGAAAAGGUUGAGGGGGUCGUGGGAAAAGGGAAAGGGUUUGGGGAGGAUGUGGGGGCACGGGUUCCUCUGCAGUGGUCCAACAUUUUAUCCCCCUGGAGACGUGCCAGCUCAAUUGCCUGGGGAAGCGAGAUGGGGCGCAACACAUGGACCUCGCGGCGGAGCUCCGGAACUAAGCCGAAAAUGAAGCAUCUAAGCAACAAAGAUGGGGCGAUGCCCAUCGUGCGAUUCGCUAGACGCUCGAACGCUGUGAGGUACUCACUAACAUAACUUGUUUGAUGUAACUUGAGCAAGUUGCCCUGGGGAUCGUCAUAGAAUGAUGGGGCGAAGCGGGACUCGAGAGCCUGCAGCAUCGCCGGCCAAGAAGGAAAGUAAUCAUUGCGGUGCAUCCACUGGUACCAUGAGAGGGUCGGACCAUCCAUAUAGAAGGAUGCAAUGGUAAGGCGCUCGUUCUCUGGGAUCCCUUGGUAAUCAAAGAACUGGGAUAUUUUAAAUAUCCAACCAAUGGGAUCAUGGCCGUCGAACCGUGCCACAUCUAGCUUCAAGUGGUGGUGGCGUGAGACUGGUGGAGGAGGAGGGUGGGGAGGGGGAAGGGGCGAAGAUACAGGGACAGUGAUUGCCGCAAGACGAUCGAAAAGAGACUCGAUCUGAGAGGAAAGGGUUACAUGGAUAGAGUCAAUUUUGGCGUUGAGGGAGUGAUGGCCCUGGGAGAGGGUAGCUUGGCCCUCGGUCAGGGAAGCUUGGCUCUGGGAAAGGUGUUGGAAAGCCUCUUUAAGCUUGUCCAUGGUGACCUGACGAGUAUGAUGUUCAGGCAUGGGAAGGGGGCAGGUCGGACCAGUUGAUAGGGAAUUGAGCUUCGAAGAGUAAAAAAACUAUCUAAGGAAAAUAAAGCUAAGUUAAGUAGGAAUUUGUUCUCCUCUUGAUAUUAUUUAUAUUUCCCCUUUAUAUAGCCUUCUUUACUAGAUAUUUCUCUGAGUUUGUUAUAACAGAAAUUUGAAAUUGGUAUCUAAGCAGGUAUUGAAGAAAAACGUGGGGAAAUGAAAAAUACAACUAGCAGAUUCUAGAAUAAGCCAAGUCAGACUUCCUGCCAUCAAACGAACUCUUUCAGGUAAGUGGGCUUGCUUGUAAUACAUUUUGUUGUGCUGCUAUUUGCCACUUCCAUUUCCUCCUGAUUGGUUUUACUAUUUGCAACUGUGGUAUCAUACUGCAUAUUGCUAUCAGUCGGUCCCAUAUAUAAUAUAAAAACAAAGACCAGCAAAAAGAGUUUCUUGACUUCAAAAAGAAAAGAAGAGAAAGAUUAUAUAUAGAUUUUUAUCAUCAGAUCAGAUCAGUGCGAAUUAAAGAUAAUGUUAGGGUAUAAUAUCACACAUUCUACUCAAUUAAAUCUGAUUCCAUUGAGAUAUAGAGAGGAUUUAUUGAAGAGUACAAAACUAACCAGUUCUUGAAUUAAUUAAGUAUAAACUUUUGGUCAAAUUGCAAAGUAAUUUAUAAUUUAGAAAAUAUUGUAAAAAUAGAAAUUAAAUAAAAAAGAAAAUUUAAAAUUUAAAAUAAAAACAUAUCUACACUCUGUAUAUAUAACAUGCUAGGGCACCUAGUCUAAGCAAAACGAGAAGUAGCAAAAAAAAAAAUCUAACCAGAACGAGCAACCCAGCAAACCUGAACUAUACCUACACUCUGCAUAUAUAUGAAUUUUCUAAGUUAUUUAAAAUAAUGUAUUUUCAUUUUAAAAUAGUAAAGAUAUAGCUAUAAAAAUAUAAAAUUAAAAAAAUAAAUGAUUAAAACAUAAAAAGUUCAAAAGCGUAUAACUGUUGACAAAUAGAAGUGAAUAAAAAUUAAAUGAAGUAAUAAAUUAAAAUAUUUAUUUAAAAAAAAAGCUGAAAGAAAAUUUGCAUUUGGAAGAACUUAAUUUAACUAAUAUAAUAGAUACAUUAUAUUCAUAAACUUUUAUUUUAAAAUCAACAUAUAUAUAUAUAUAUAUAUAUAUAUAUAUAUAUAUAUAUAUAUAUAUAUAUAUAUAUAUAUAUAUAUAUAUAUAUAUAUAUAUUCAUAAACGAUUGAGAUUAAUUAAUCCAUAUAUAUGAGAACCUUACGCGUGUUAAAUGUCAUCUUCAAUCACCUUAUCGAUAUUGUUCAAAAAAUUGGAAUACCUGUGAGGAAGACAAGUAGACACUUUAGAGGUGUCUCUUUCAAACACGUGUUAAAGAAGAAUAUGCAUGCUUUGUAGAACUACCAUGAAUCUGCAAUUUUCUAUAUACAUAUAUAUACCAGCUACUUGCAAGUGUUAAUACUCUCAGCUUGACUAUGUUUGGAAUCUCUUAACAACUUAAUUAUUUUUGUAAUAAUUGUAACGUUUUUUUAUUGUUGAUUUAUUGAUGAUUAUCAUAUUAUGACAUUUUACUUAAUUUUUUGUUGGUCAAAACUAUUCACUAGUACAAAUUCUUUGUAGGAGAUCAUUUUCAAAGACCUUGAUAAUUUGUUUCAGCAGCUUUUAGAAUCAAUUACUAUCAUCACAAAUCAACACAAGAUUUUUUAGCGUGCUUUAUUUUUAUUCAUAUAUUUUUUGGAAAACUUUUCAAAAAGUUACUUAUCCCAUAAUUACUCAAAGCUAAACACACUUAAUUGCAGAAUUCUUAAGUGAUAAUCAACCGAAAAAUAGAUGUAUCAUAUUGUUAUAAGUAGUAUCAAUGAAUUCUUUUAAGUCAUCCUCAAUUUGUAGAGUCUCAUACCUAUACAACCUUUAGACCUUUUUCAUUAUGGUGUGAUUCAUUUAGAGUAUUACAUGUCCACCAGCUUCCGUCUAAUUCGUCAUCGAACCAUACCAUACUAGGAGAUAGGUUUGCUCUGAUACCAUUUGAAACAUCUCUGAUUGUUGAAUUCUCGACGCCUCACACUCCACGAUACUUCAUAUGAUGACACUUAACUUCCUUGUUAGUCAAAAUCCUCAACCGGUCAGAAUUUUCCGUGCAUAGAUUUUUUCAAGACCUUGAAAAUCUAUUUCGAUGACUUCCAAGACUAUCCCCACAAACUAACAUGAUACUUUUCAGCGUAUUUUGCCCUCACUCACUUGUUGUUCGGGAAAACUUUUCAAAAGGUCACCUAUCUCAUAGCUACUUCAAGUCAAACACACUUAAUUAUACAGUUCUUAAUGUGAUACCGAAAAGUAGAAGCAUCUUGUUUGUAUAGAUAAUAUCAAUUAACUCUUUUAAAUCAUCAUCAACUAUAUAGUCUCAUGUUAGAACAAAGGAUGAAAGUUUGAAAAAAAAAAGAAAGGAAAAAAAAAAAAGGUUUCAAGUCCCACAUCGCUCAGGAUAAACACUUGAAUAGUGUUUCACUCCCUAUAUAUAGAGAACUCAUUUCUUCAUUUUUUCUUGUCCCAGACGAGAAGCAUUCCCUCAACUUUUCUUUCUCCCUCCCAUUUUUCAGCCGAUGCAUUUUUGGCAAACUUCUCCCUCUUUCUUUCUAUCGCUCUAUAAUUUUGGUUGAUUAUAAGAGUGACUUUUUAAUUCAUAAUUUCGGUUGACUAUAAAAGUGACUUUUUAAGUCAUAUUUUUGGUUGGCUAUAAGAGUGACUUUUUAAGUCAUAUUUUUGGUUGGUUAUAAGAGUGACUUUUCAAGUCAUAUUUUUCGGGUGGCUUUAGAGUAACUUUUCAAGUCAUACAAGAGAGUGUAAUUCUAGAAAUGUUCUCUCAGUGCAGUGGAAAUCUUAUACAGUAAUCUGGACUGUUUUAUCCUGGGGACUUCGUGGUUGGUAGUCUACUUGCACAAUUUUUGGCAGUGCCACGAAACGUCUUAAAGAAAAUGAUAUUGUCCGCGACUCGACCAGUAAUUUUUUCGGUUUGUCAUAAAUUAUUGUUACAACAUCUCAUACAUACACACAGUCUCUAGAUUUCUCUCUUUCCAUUCGUCGGGAUAUUACAAUAAUAAUCUUCCAUGUGAUGGAUCUUGUAAAAUCCCAUUGAGGGUGAGUAUUUGUUCUAACUCGAAGACAAGUUAAGACUAAAAGAAAAAAAAAUUGAUUCUUAACUUAGAAAUAUUAGACUGAACCGAAACUACUCGUAUUUUUCUUAAAGAGGCUAUGAUUAUUUAUUAAAGGAACAUACAGUUAAAUAUCUCAUUUUAAUAUUUCUAUUAUUAAUAAAUUUUCAUGUCAGACUGAGUAAAUAAUAUGGGUCCAUUUUAUUUUUAUUAUAUAAGCUGGUUUACAUAUAAUUUCACUUAAUAAAAAUUAUUAAAAAAUAUAGAAACCUAACAUUAAUUUAUCUUCAGUCUUUGGAUUGAAUUAGUAAAUUUACUAUGCAUAAACUGUUACCCCUUGCCCUCUGAUCUCACAGUCCAUGUUCAUAAUAACCAAUAAUUUGAUUGCUUUUGAAAAGGUAAUUUGACUUUAUAAUUUGUUGGAAAUUACCAUCAUCAUCCAUCAUGCAUGCAAAACUGCAAGGACGGGACAAUGAUAGAACAUGCUGUUGUGGCCCUCAAUGAGGUUGCAAUUUGGAGAAAUGGGACAAUUUCAUUAGACAAAUAACUAAAAAAUAGAGGUUUAAAAAUGUAAAGAAAACUUCUUAUAUCUGUUUAAGGAGUAACGAAAAAGAAAGAAAAGGAGGGUGAUUGAUUUAGGCGAAAGAGUGAGGACAAGAUCCAAAUCCAAUUAAACGAAGUUUGAUAAUGAUGCAUAUACUGUGGAGUCGGGUGCUGUAUAAGUCGCACUUUAGAGUGUAUUGUAAUGGAAAAAUAUUUAGUUUUAUAUACUCAGAAUUUGUAAUAAGUAAAUAUUUUAAAAUAUAUCAAUUAUAUUAGAAAUUCAUAAUAAAAAAUUCAAUUUGUAACAUAAGAUUAGUUUUAAACUAAAAUAAAUAAACAGUUAAAAAAUUAAGUAUAUAAAUAAAGACGAAAAUAUUUUAAAGAAAUAUUUUUUUUAUCAAUUGCAAAAAGAUAGUGUAUGAAACAUAUAACAAGAAGAGAGUACUAAGAAUAUCAAACUGAGAAGAGGAGAGUGUCACUCCUAAAUUGAGAAUUAUUUCACAUUAUAGCAAGACGGAAACAGUAAAACUACCAUUAAUGGUUUAAGUUUAACACUCUCGUAAAUUGUUAUAAACUUUCUUGUAUCAAAAUUCAAUUCUUACGGAUUAAAAAUAAAAGACUAUCAUUAAUAAUGAUUGGCGGAUAUGGAUCGUUACAUACAAUACAACAAUAGGCAGGCCUAUUAAUUUGAUUAAUGUAGCUACGUAGACAAGGUUCUUUGUCAUUAUAAUUGUACCUAACAGCUUUGCAUGCGUUUUGAAAAUGAAGUGAGGGAGGAACACUUGUAGUAUAUAUUUUUUUGACAGACACUUGUAGUAUCAAGAAGAAGUUUUGACGCAAUAUAAACUUGUUAUUUUUAAUUAAAAAGUUUAAAUGAGAGAGGACGUUUUAUGACUUAAAUAUAUGAUAGCAUUCCUACAAAUUGACUAAUAGAAGCUGUAAACUAAUUUCUUUAGCACAUGUAAAUUUAUAAUUAUGCAAGUUAUGACAAUGAACUUAGAGAUUUGAAGGAAGGGGAACCAAAUCCGUUUGCAUUUAAACCUGCAACUAAACUUUACUCACUGAGUCGUUGCAUGAGUUAAUUAGGUGCUGCCUUUAUUUGUUGGAGUGUGUAAUGGUGUUGUUGUUUUUCUUUUCUUUCCUCUUCUCUACUUUUCUGGAGGUAUUGCUGUGGUGUUUUUGUCAAAGAAUUAGGACGUGGCGAAUGAAUGCACUGAAUAAGUUUAGAAUCUGAUGAUAAUAAACAGAGAAUAAUUAAUAAUUCAUUUAAGAUCCAUUAAAAACAUCAAAACUAAAUUAUCAAUUUAUUUUUGAUUUAUUACAAAAUGAUUAAAAACAAAACCGUGUAGUUGAUCUGUCUCUUGUUUUAUGGAUUGAUAAUGAGUUUAUCUUUCACUUAUUUUGUAUGAUAACAAUCAUGAAUAAUAAAUAUAUUAAGUCAGCCAUUUGCUGAAAAUUAUUUUGGUUUAUUAAAUUAUUUUUAUAAUAAAUAAACCAUGGUGUUUAAAUCAAUGUUACAUAAUUUUCAAAUUUUCUUUAUCAAUUUUUCGUUCUCAAAUAUCAAUGUUUAUAAAUACAAUAAUUAAUUAUUUCACAUGUUUGCGAUUCAAGUUUAUUCAUUAAAAUAUACUAUCUUAUUAAAUAUAUUUCUUAAUAUAAUAUCAAUUAGUUGCCUUAAAAAAAUAUAAUGCCAAGUAAAUUGUAAAUAAAAUCUUUUUAAUCUUUCUAGAUCAUAUUUUCUUUUUCAUUUUUACUCUUAAUUCCUUAAUAUAUAAUUUUUUCCAUUCUCUAUCUUCUUAAUGUUACAAUAUUUAUUUUAAUAAAUUUAUAUUCUUAUUAUUACACUGUUUAUUUUUAUUAUUCCAUUUUUUGGUUAUGGUAAGAAAACAAAUUAUUUAUUAUUACAUUGAUCUUUAAUAAAUAUUUACACUAUUUAUUAUCAUUUUUAAAAAAACUUUCGGCUGCAAAAUAAAAAAUACACAUAAAAAGUCAUAAAUAUAUGUUCUUUAUAUCAUUCUAAAUUUAUUUACUAUACCAUUAUCUAAUUUUACCAAUUUCCAAUUCCAUAAACUUAUUUAACAAUUUUCUUUUAACUAAAUUAAUUUCCAACUUUUAGAUCUUUUACUGUCUAAUUUUAACAAACACAAACAUACUUUCAUACUUUAAAUAACAUAUAAAAAAAUCUAUUAGAAGAGAGAAUAAAGAAGUAUUGGAAUUUGUUUAACAUCGAAAUUAAUUCUUUAACCAUAUUUUUUUUUAUCAUAUGAGUAUACAAAAUAUUUUGUUGGAAAAAUAAAGCUCACUUGGUUGUCGGCUGUGGGUGCACAGCAAAAAUUCAAAAGAUAAUAAAGAAGUGUAGGGAUUGAUUUUGUCAUUUAAAUUUCCUCCUUUCUUAUUCACAAAGUAAUAAAAACCGAAAAAGAAAACCAUACGUCUCAUGUUUGUUCCUUUUUUUUAUUUCCUCUAGCCCUUUGUUAAACUUUGUUUUAGAAUGUCUUACGGAGAAGCCUUUUGAUAUCAAAUUCAUUUUUGUUUUUUUAGCUUGCUAACCAUGCAAGUUCAGUACAGAAUCUAGCAUCUCUUUGCUUUCAGAGUGUCCCCAUACUUCACUCCAGUGGUUAAAUAAAUCUAUCAAGACACCAAAACAAAGUUUCAAAUGAACACAGUAUCCCCCAAGUCACCAAUGAGGUACCUCUUAUAAAAGUACUGUCUAGUAUCUACAAGACAAGAACUGCUAUAUUUUGUUAGCUUGAAGCCAUGUUUAAGUUACGGAGAAAGAGUAACAAGAUUAAAGCUGUAUUCAAACUGCAAUUUCAGGCAACUCAGGUAAAUAUUUAUCCAUUAUAUACUAAAUGACAAAAUGAGGUUUGGCCUAGUAGUUACAAAGUUACAAUUUUAAACAUAUUGCCAGGAAGUUUGAAAUUUAUACAGAAUCACUUAUCACAUUGUAGAUUUUGGUAAGUGAGUUUGAUAACUUAUUGUGGGUAGUUUUAUGCCAAUUUAUUAUAUCAUCAGGUGCCAAAUAUGAAAAAGUCUGUACUGAUGGUAGCUUUGGUGCCGGACGAUGUUGGGAAGCCAACGGUGAAACUAGAGAAAGUUGCUGUCCAGGAUGGAACCUGUUUAUGGGAGAAUCCAAUUUUUGAAUCAGUUAAACUCGCUAAGGACACAAAAUCAGGAAAACUUCAGGAGAAAAUCUACCAUUUUAUUGUUUCAACUGUAAGAAGUAGAUUUAAUUGCAUACUAUCUUUUACCUGUCUAGGAUAUGUUGCUGGAAAGUCUAAUCUCUAUAGGUUCUUGCAGGGAUCUUCAAAAUCUGGCUUUCUUGGAGAAUCCUCGAUUGACUUUGCUGAUUUUGCUGCAGAAACUGAGCCACUGACUGUGUCCCUACCUCUAAAGUUUGCGAAUUCAGGCGCAAUCCUGCAUGUUCGUGCCUUCUAUUCCCCUCCCCAACUAGUUUCUUGUCUCUCUCACAUCAUCACAUGAUUACACAUCUUUAAAAAUAUGGGCUUCAUCAAAGUUUUUUCUUUCAAUUCAUAUUCCAUAUUAUUUAAUAUCAUCAGAUUACAAACACCAAAUAUAAUUCCUCACAUAACAUAUGUUGAGACAGGUGACAAUUCAGAAUGUGGAAGGGGUUCAUGCAGAUCAAAGGUGAAAAAGAACCAUGCAGCCAGUUAAUUUAAUCUCUACAAAUUUCCUUUUGUUUCUUGAUUUUACUUCUCUCCUUUUUACUUACCUGUUGCAGUAGUUUCAGAAAUGGGGAAGAUAAUGGAAAUGGAAGCUCAAGACACCUACUUAGCAUUUGCAGUGCAGAUGAAGGUUCACAUAAUGUUGAUAAAGUAAGGUUUCACAUGAUACAGUGGCUUUAUACAGCUAGCAAUUUCUAUUGCACAGAGUUGAAAUUUUCCUUAACAGAACCUUCUUAUGAGGAUAAAUUAAGAAAAUAAAUAAUCUAUUUUAUGAAAUUUCAGUAACUAUUAAUAUUUUAAAGGAUGAGAACCUGAUCAAGACCAGCAUCUAAUGGCGUCACUUCUGUGGCAACUUCAUGCAGGAUUUUCCCCAGCUAUUACCACCCUUGAGACAAAAUUCAAUGCCAUCAAGAGGAACUAUUGAGGCCAUUGCAACAAGAGCUCAAAUGCAUAGGAGGUCAAUGGGUUCAGUAUCAGAUAGGAGUUUAGGUGACUACUGGAGAAAAAGCCUGGAAGAUACUCUUCCUCAAGAAAGAUUACAAGAGCCUCCAGAUAAUGUCACUGAGAACCUCAAAAGUGAAAUUGCUUCUCUAAAGACGAAAGUGGAAGAAUCAGAACUAGAGUUACAAUCGCUUCAGAAGCUGAUGGAAAAGGAAUGCAGUCGAGGACAAAGUAUGUCCAGACAAAUAAUCAGCCUUAGAGAUGAGAGAAAUACAAUCAAAACUAAAUAUGAGCAACUCAUAUCCCAGAAAAACCUCAACAAUGUGACCAAAUCUUCAAAAGCCUUGCAGACUGAGAUUGCAGAUGCUAGGCAGCAGUUAGAAGCAACAAAGGAAGAGCUUGUUUAUGAAAGAGAGUUUAGUUCUAAUCUUCAAUUGCAACUCCAAAAGACACAAAACUCAAACUCUGAGCUGCUUUUGGCAGUGAGAGAACUUGAAGCAAUGCUAGAACAAAAGAAUAAGGAAUUGUUGGAAAAUACUAAAGAGCAUGAUUAUGCCACAGAAUUAGGUCUCUUGAAGCAGAAAACUGCAGACCAGAAUGGUGAGAUAGACAAUUGUUAUAAGCAACGUGAAGAGCUAAAUGAACAUAUAAAAGAGCUCCACUUUGAAUGUGAGCUUCUGAAGAAAGAAAACCUGGGUAUCUCUUUGAGAUUAAGACAUGGAGAAGCACAAAAAAUUGUUUGGCAAAAUAAACAUUCAGCUUCUUUGGCAACUAUAGAACAACUUGAAUCACAAGUACAGAGAUUAGAAGAAAAGAUAAAGAAUCAGGCAGAUGAUUUUUCAGAGACUUUGAUUUACAUCAAUGAACUUGAAAAUCAAGUCAGUGACUUGGAGAGAGAACUGACAACUCAAGCAGAAAAAUUCGAAAAAGAUUUACAUGCCAUGCAAUGUGCAAAAAAUGAGCAGGAAGAAAGGGCCACCCAAGCAGAGGAAACAUUGAUAAAAACAAGACACAGCAAUGAUCUCACAUGUCAGUGUUUUCAGAAAGUAGAAGAAAAUGAAAAGAAGACCAUGGAUGCUUAUGCAGAAGCUGAUGAAUUGCGGAAACAGAACAAACUAAUGGAAGAAAUGCUCCAGAAAUGCAAUCAAGAGCUCAGGCUUAUUACAAAUCACAAUGAAUCAAAACUGCAACAGCUCUUGAACCAAAUAGAUUCAAAACAGAAGGCAAUAGAAAUGAUGUCACAAGAACUAGAGAUUAAGUCCAAACAACUUGAAGAUGUACAAAGGCAUAGGGAUGAACAGUAUGAUGCAUUAUUGAAGCAAAUUCAAUUGCUCAGAAUUGAAAUUACAAAGCUGGUGGCAGAGGAGCAUGCAUUAUCUAAAACUGAGCCAAAAGAGCACAUAUCUACGAUGUUAAUGCAAGAGAACAAUGAUGAGGAGAUAAGGCUUGGCACCCUAAUGUCAGAAGUAGAAAUCCUUAAGACCCAGCACAAUGAAUUAAAACAUAGAUUGCACAUGGAACAAGCAGAGAAAGAAAAUAUGAAGAAAAAAAUAUCUCAAUUAGAAGGAGAGCUGAAUAAGAAGGAAGAAGAUCUAAGUGCUGUAGAAAGGAGGCUCGAGAAUAGCAAUGGACAAGCAACAGCCACAAAUAUUAAUUUGGCUUCAUGGCACUACGACAGUGCUGCAUAUUGUUCUUCCACUAAUGAAUACAAUAGGAUUUCAAAAUCAGAAAUGCACAAGGUAAUUUUCCAGCUCCUUUGCUUUGAAUCAAAAUUAAGAAUGUUACUAUCUCUGUUGCAUAUUAGGUCAGGUUGCAUGUUAUCACCACAACCACCCCCUUAUGAGUACACUACACAGUGAAGUGAAAUGAAUAAUCAAGUUAGCACCCAAGCAGAUUGGCAAAAUUAUCUGAAAUGAUAUAAUAAUUAGAGUUGGAAAAAUGAAAGAGUAGGGAUCAUUAGUAUUUUUCUCUUUUUUGUACUGUGAACACAAUUUGUCCCCUGCUUAAGUAGGUGACAAAAUUUCAGGGUUCUGUGUUGUGUCUUGAGCUGUCUUUUCUAAAACUAUUUUGAAAAUCAAACGAAGUACAAUUUUUUAUGGUGCCAUCCUAUCGCUUAUAUUAUAGCAAACCAAUGAAUCUUAAAACUUAAAACUCUUCUAAAAGAAAUAUGCAAUUAGCCAAUGCACUUCUCGCUCAAUUGGCACCAGCCUUGGUCUUUAAGACUUGAAUAUGAUGUUAAUGUCAGAGGUUUGGUCCUCUACAAAGUUAUAUUUCCUUUCUCUUGCCCAUGUGCUUGAACCAAAUAUGUAACCUAAAAAAGACGAAAGAGAGACAAUAUCUAAUUAAAGUUUCUUUGGUUUUGAUUUGCACGCAUUAGUUGAUGACUCGAUGAUAUACAUUAACUUACAAUGUUGCGAUAUUGGUAACAUAAAAAGGAAAUGGAUGAUGCAAACACCCCUGUUGACAAGUCUGAAAUAGGAAGAACGAUAUGCAUUUCAGCUGAGAACAAAGUUUAUCUAGCAUCACACACAAGGUAAAAAUCAAAUUCCUUUUCUCCCAUCUGAGUCUGUAGUUCCCUUGAACACAACCCAUUAGUUUUCUUAUCAUCAAUUAAAUUGUAAUAAAAUAUUGGUGCUUCAGGCUCAGAUAUAGUGCACCACUCAUGACUCAUCUCAUCUAGGAUGUUAUUUUUAUUAAAUUUUAUCUCCUCAUUACACUGACAGUGAAGUGAAAACUUGCUUGGAAAAUGAGGUUAUCGUCUUCAAUAAUGAUAAUGCUGGCGAGUUUCAUACAAAUAAAUUGUUGAAUGAAGUGGAAGUACUUAAGGAAAUGAAUAGAUAUAUGGGAACUCAGCUGAAAGAAAUGGAAGAAAGAUAUUCAGAGAUUAGUCUUAAGUUCGCAGAGGUAGAGGGAGAAAGACAACAGCUUGUUAUGGCUCUACGUAAUUUCAGGAAUGGUAAGAACUAGAAUUCUUUACAGGCGUUAUUGCUCACAUACAAAAUACACAUGGGUUAUGAAGCAGACAGGAUAUCAUGGUCAUAUUGGUCGAAUUCAGAUCAAGCCAGUGUUUUUCACUUCAGUCGAAUCUACAUUUCACCUCCUCCAAUUUAAAUUUGCUGGGCUGCUUAGUUCAAUAUUUCUGGUCGAAUGAUGCGUUGAAUUGACAAGGUAGCUAUCGGUUGUGGCCUCAGAUAGGUUAUGUAGAAAAUGGAUUAUAAUUUAUCAUCUAUUUGAACGAUUUUGGGGUACAUAUAUUGCAAACAUUAUAGCCGAUAAAUAAGGCCUAUGAUGCUCAGAUGAAAUACAUUUUUAUUGAAAAUAUGAAAGAACAAAGAACAACAAGGCUACUUAAUUUUGAAAACCUAUCAUCUAGAUGUGGUAAUUGUGCUUUUCAAAAGCUGUUGGCUAAUUUUAGAUGCAUCAAUUUUAAAUUUUGAAAUAAUUAAAAAGGGCUACUUGUUUUGUUUUUCAUACAAAUAAAAGUAGUUUGGCUCUUGAUUAAAAAAACAAACUUUACAUUGUUGGAAAAAAAAUUGGGUGUAUGUAACUAAUAUUAACAUUUCUAAGCAUCAUUUUGGGAAUAGCAAAAAUUAAUGAAUAUCUUAUAAUUUUGCUCAAAAUAAAAAUAGAAGUGCCAACAAAUUUUUUGUUAAAUUUUGUAUCAAAUAUGAAUGUUUUUCUUCUUCAGAUACGAGUAAGAUAGCGGGUAAUACUUCGCACUACAAAUAUGGUGGAAAAAAACACUAUAAAUGCUAUCCUAAACAGGUUCUUAGAUCGUAAAUCAAUCAUCAUGUGAAAUCUCCAUUCGCUCCAAACAUAGAUUAUCCAGCACGGUAUCUAACUUCCUGUACUGAUCUCGAACUCCAUUUUCAUUAGUGGAAACCAUUGACUUCAACUUUCAUCAAUAUUAGAAGUCAGUCUCUACCAUAGUCCGUUGAACUCAUUCUAAAUGGUAUAGAAGUAUAGAUGAUAUAUACCAAGUCCAGAAAGGAACUGAAUUAGAAGUUUCUUAGUAUGAGGAAAUUAACCUGACAAAUGAAACCUAAAUUGUCAGAGAAUUACUCUCUAAUUAUGGUUUUAAAGCAAAAUACCUCUCAAAAGGUUAAAGCCACCGUCGUAUAUAAUAUAAAAUCUCCAUUCUUUUCUUCAAUGAUGGAUUAUUGUGCCUGGCAUAAGUCUUUUUUGUCACUCCAAACUAGUCUUGUUUGGCCUCCACUUCCGUACCUCCCAAAGGUCAGUGUCUGCCAACGACCGAAUGUUCGUGAAUAAUAGGAUAGAGGCAAAGUUGUAUCCACGUUAACUAAAUCUAGAAAGGACACGAAGUUGAAUUGGUUUGCAAGUCAAAUAUCACAAUUAAUUAUUACUAUAAUUUAUCAUUUUUAUAAAAAUAUUUAAAUAUUUAAAAUCAAUAUAUUUUAGCUCUAAUUAUAUAUUAUAAAUAAAAUAAAAGAGUACGAGUUAACCUAAAUAAUUUUAACAAGAGUUAACCUAAAUAAUAAAUAGUUAACAUCCCACAAAAUUAGGCUGGAUAUAUUAUAGUAUGCAUAAACUAGCUUGAAAUUAAUCAGAGAUGACUAAUAUAAUAGUAACUAUCAUUGAAAACUCUCUCAAGUCCCUACUAUAAGAAUAAGAUAAGACACAUUUAAUACACUCAAUGACGUGUCGUUGGACAAUAUGACCCAUUAGAUGAGUAUAGAUCUAUCUAACGGUUUGUAUUUUGUCACGUUGUUCACCGCACUACGGUGAGUAUCCACGGAGACUAUCCCUCCUAAAAACUUUCCACCUACGUAUUACACCUUUUAUGCAUUCAUUCACAUUUCACAAAUUGGGAGCAACCGAGCAAGAUAAAACAAAAAACAGAAUAAAUUCUAGACACCUUCUAUCCCCUUUCUAACUGCCACUUUUGGCCAUAUUGCUUAUUGCAGUUAAAAAAUUGAAAAAAGAUAUAUAAUUUGAUUAAAAUCAUUUGACUAGCCUUUUGCACCACUUAUUUUCACUUCAAAACCAUCAUAGUAUAAACGUACCUUCGUUGAUUUCUUAUCACAAGGAGUACAUGAUGAAGUGGAAUCUCUUGCUUUCUUGACCGAGUUUGAAGAUGGUCCCGAUCGCUUCUGUCUCUUCUGUUUCGGAACAUUUCCAGAUGUUCUAUUAGGUUGGUUCUUAAACAAAUCAAUUACGGAAGGACUUCUUCGCUUAGAAGUUUUGGACAUGCUCCCGGGGUACCCAAAAUAAGGGCCAGAGUUCUCACUUGAUAAUGAUUUUUGACGCAAUCUGCUCUUUUCUUUUACUUUAUUAAUAAACUCAAUCGUCCAAGGUGAAUUCUUUAAUAUACUAGCAGACUGGCGGGCAUAUGAGAAUGGAGUUUCUCCCAAAUGUGACAGUUCCUCCUUGAAUGGUGAUUCUUCUAAGUUUCUCAUCGAUGCCUGAGUAAAGCCAAUGUUUUCACGGGGCUUGAAAUCAAGAGGAAAUAUAUCUUCUCGAAAAUCUGGUUCAGGGUAGUUGUCAACUUCUCCCCGUUUGUCUUUUAAGGAUCUCCAUAUUUUUGAUGAGUUGGUUUCUGGGUGACUACUAUUAUCAAAUGACAAUUUCCUUGCAAUUUUAUUCGUUCUCAUCAGAUCUUUCUCUUUCUCUGCCAUCAAACUUGUGAAAUACAUGGAAUCAGGAAUGGCAAAGCGUUUAUCAAAUAAGGGGCUAUCAGUCAAGUCCACCACCUCACCUCUAAUGUCUUCAUGCAGCUUCUUUGAAUUACUAAAGUUAUGCCAAUUCACACCUUUGCCCAUCAAAGCAGUACCCAGUAUUUCAUUUUGAGCCAACUCUUUAUUUUUCAAGGAUAAACUGGGUUGUUUCAGUUGCUCUGAUUUGUUGGGAGCUUUGCAGUUCCCUGCUGAAUAAGAGACUCCAGAAAGGUUUCUCAUUGUAGCUGCACCGGUGCUUUGCUUUUGACCGAAAAACUCACUCAUGGACAAACUUGCGUUUGCUAAGUCACUGGAUCUUCCAGCAUUUUUUGACAUAACAAAAUCAAAAGGUUUUGGCAAGGUAGAGGAAUCCGGCGCAGCCUCAACUACUUGAUUUAAUGUCUCAAAUUGCAACAAUUCAUCCAAACAUAGUUCAUCUAUCUGAUGACUACUUAUAGGAUUUUUCCUUUUUCUUUCAUUUUCAACUUGAUAUAAACAACACCAAUCUGAGUCCAGACCAGAAGAUACUGAAGAGGAGCAAUCUGUCAUUAUGGAUUUUGAGUCCUCCCGUUCCCCAUAUCUGCAGAAAACACUGAAUAGAGAAAUACUUUCGUCUGGGACAUGAUACUUUUCUAAAACAUGCAUCCUUUGCUCAUGUGACCACACAAGAAACUCAUUAAGCUUGACCCCUGAAGAUAGUAUAGAGUGUGCAGUUAAAGGAUUUAUUCCAGGAAAUUCUGUAAGAAAUGACUCGGCAAGAGUCACUGAGUCAGGCAUUUUAGGAUACAGACCCCUAUUCAUAUUGUUAGCACUCUUAAUGCAGCUUACAAUAACUUCAUUUGUCAACUCAGGUGAGUAAGAGAAGAAUAUCUGCAAAUCAAUUCCUAGGCUUGUUGCUGCAGCAUAAAGUCCAUCUGAGGAUUCCAUUACAGUUGAAAGAAAGUUAAGCUCUCCUUCAAACACCUGGAAAGAGAAUAUAACAUAUUUGAACCAGCUCAAUGUAUAGGUAACUAACAUCAACCAUCGCAACAACUAUCAUAUCUUAAUCAUAUUUACAUUUAUUAUGAUGCUUUUAUUCCCUCAUAUCUCAAUAUAAUAAGAUUCAGAAAACUAAUUUUAUCUGCUACCUUGUCCUAAGAGCUAAUAUCUUCCAAGCAAGUAAUACAAAAUGAUGACAACGAUGAUUAAAAUUCCUUAAUUCCCCUUUCUGCAGGGGUUUAUAUAAGAAAGUCUUCCAAAGGGUCUAAAGGAAAUUUCAAAAAUAGAAAAGCUGAAGCCAAGUUCGGAGAUUGACAUUCUUUUCCCUCAAAAGGCUUCUCAAAUCUCAAAUUACUCCUAAAAAAACCAACUGGUCAAUGUCAAGUACUUUCAUAAUUUUUCUAGAGCACUACUCGACAUUGCAGUACUUUAUAGAAACAGUUAUAUGAAAUAAAUAAAUAUCACACAAAUGUAAUUAAUAUAGAAAUUGAGAUUACCAGAAAGCAACCACGGAAGUAAAAACUAAGCAAUGUCAGAACAUCUGUGGCAAUAUUCUCAAUACAUAAAGGCAAGCUUGAGGACGCUUCAGUCGCUGGAGUUGAUUUCUUCCCGAGGUUUCUACUAUCAUACCAUGCCAAGCAAAUAGCAGAACUUAAUAUAAUAUCCACAGGCAAAUCUAAAUCACGUUCAACAACUUGAAUUCCUUCUUUCUCCAUAGCAAGAAUUACCAGGUAAGAGCUUCUUCUAGACAUUAUCAUUUCCUUAUCUACAUUUUGAGUAUUUACGAUCAUAACUGUUCCAGGAAAAACUUCCAUGCUUUUAUGGCCAUGCUCAGUUUUCACAGCAGGAACUAGCGGCAUGUGAUUAUCUGCUUCAGGUGCAACCUUGGAAGAUUUUUUAUCAUAGCUUUGCUCCACAGGACAAAAGUUCAGUAGUCUCUCCAAGUUCUGGUUCAUCAUACUUACCUUAUGAUUGAAAAUAAGAUGAGUCUCACUUCCCUGGAAGACAAUCAUUGUUAGUUACAUGAGUGAGUUCAUAAUAUGUUUACAGAUUGAUUGGUAGACGAUGUAUGAACUAUGAAUUAAGAGUAAAAAUCAAUUGGUGCAGCUAAGUCAGUAAUUCCAUUUAAAAUAGGCGACAAAUGAAAGCAUUUUAUUUCAAGACCAGUAUCACAAAAGUUGCAAUUUCGUUUACUAUAAUCACAAAUUUGAAGUUGCAGUCAUUUCCCUGUGGAAUAAACUUGUAGUUUUGCUAAACAUAUAAGAAUUAGAAGAAGCUCAAUACUGCUUUUGGUUCAUAAUUUCCAGGUUAAGCCAUUAACCCACCACUCCCAUUCAAAUUAAAAUUGUUUCCCAUUUCUGUAUCUGUCCAAAUAUAGUAUUCCUACUCAAGCCUUCUUUUUGGUCUAUUUUACACUGGCACACAUGCAGAGAUACAGAAACAAGAACAUGUCACAAGUAUGAUACUGAUACAGGCCAGUCCCCCAAAUUGUGAAUAAGUAAUACACCAAAUUAGUUUAUUAAAUUACAAAUAUUGGUCAAUUGAGUUCCUGAAAUCACAAAGUCUUCAAAAUUACCAACAACAAUCAUUUAAGAAUUUAGUCGCUGAUGUUAUCUAACAAUGGUCAUUUUAGUUCUUGACAUUACAAAAGUAAGGACUAAAAUGACUGACAUUUGGUAAUUUCAGGAAUUAAAAUGAUACUUUUGUAAUUUUAAGGAUUAAAUUAACUAGUUUUCGUAAUUUUAGAAUUUUGGGCUAAUUAUUUCUGUCAUUUUUUUUAUCCUUUUGCUCUUAAUGUCUUCUACUUUGUAAGGUACCACAAAAAUCCACUUUGAGGAGAAUCCUGAGUGGGGGACACUGGGGAGUGUAUGAUGACCAUAAGAGGUCAAUGAAAGAGCUACAAUUUGAAAACACAAUAUAGUUGUGUUUGAGCAUUUCCUUCAAUGGAGUAAUGAUUUAUCUUAGCUCCUGUUGCAAUCAAAACCUCAAAACAUGUUAAUGUGUUGUGUUUUCUCAUAGACUGAGACUGUUAGUUCCUGCUUCUCUGUAACAGUUCCAGACAUUUUUUUUCCUCAUAAAUGAAGUAGCUCUGUUAGAGAGAAAACACUUCCCUAGGUAGAUUUUAUUGGUAUAGCAGAUUUGAAAUCUAAUUUUGGAAAUUUUGUUUGCGGUUUAUCUUAGUAUCAUAAAACCCAAUUCGUGUAUGCCUGUACGUAUUUACAUCCUUACAUGAGGUAUUUUAAAUUAUACUAUAACAGUUGAACUUGUGCAGAUAAAAAUAUAUGGAAUAACGAACUCAGACAAAUAAUUUCUGAAUUUAUUUUCAUUAGCAUAUAGUAUCUAUAACAUAGAUUCUAUAUAUAUUAUCCAUAAUCAUAGAGGCUUACCAUUGACAUUUCAAUGUUUGGGAGCAUUUCAACACCUUCGCAGAGUGCUUUGAGAGCAGCAUGGCCAUCCAAUUCAACCCUCAAAAAGUGAAGAUGAGGCAAUCCAACCAAGUUUUGUGAAAGCUUAGAUAUCCUAGAUGAGUCAUAUGAACCUCCAUAUUCCAAGAUAAUGUCAAAUUUGUUCAAUGGAAACAAGGGAGAAACAUGCCUUCAAUCAAAUAGAAGUUAACUUAGUUUUGUAGCAGAAAAAGUAUGGUAAAAAAAUGGCUCCAAAAAAUUUAUGGUCUGCUUUGAUGCUCACGAUGUAUGAUUAGAACAACUAAUUUGAGGAAAUUGAAAGGAAUUUGGUUUCAUUAAAAUAAUGUAAGUAUUGUUCUCAUGUGCUCACCAUUUUGGAUUCUUGUUGCUCCAUACCCAAUAUACAAAAAGAAAAUCCAUGGGUCUAGAAUUGGCAAUUUGAAAACAUGCUAAACAUAUCUUGUACAAAAAAUAAAGUGAAAUUCGAUGUAUGCAAUACAAAUAAAAAUAUCGUCAAACAAAAGCUUACUUGUGUGAAACCAACAAGCAGUCUGAAAUCAGAAGUUCUUUCAUUUUAGUAUCUGUGUCCUCAGACACAGUAUUGGCACAUGGCUGAUUUCUACAAGAAUCAUUUAGUGCAAUGAAUGAUAACCCCAGGGAAAGGAGGAGAUUUUUCAAUGAAUACCAAAAUACUUCUUCCGCCACAAUCAAAGUUUUCAAACUAUUCUGUUUGAUGUAUGAUUGUAAAAUCUCCUUGACAAUUGUUAAUGACGGGUGUGCCAUAGUAACAUUGUUGUCCACCUUCCCCUUUUCAUCUUUGAUCAAAGAUUGGAGGAAGCCUAACUUUGAUUUCAAAUACUCCAAGUUUUGACAUAAUUUGUCUAAAUAAAAGAAUGCUGGAUGGAGACCAUAGAAACACAAGUACCAAGCAGCCUGUUUAAUAGCACAUAACACGACAAAUGCCAUUUGGUUUCCAUUUAUAUGGUAUUCAAUCAGCUUGUGCUUUUGAAGACCCAACAAUUUUAAAUAAUCUGCAUCCGAGUUAUGCAUUUUUGUCAUCUCUGUAUCACUGUGCAAAAUGGCUAGAUAGCUUUUUUCAAAAUAUCCAGCAAGGGUCACAAUAUUAUUGGACAACUUAACUCUAUGCAGAACAGUAUGGAAUCCUUGUGACUGUGUACCAACCUUCGAUUCAUUGGAUGAAACUUUUGGAAUACUAACAUUAACAUUACUGGACUCUACUGUAUAAUUACAAUUCCCCUUAUCAGUCGCUUUUUGAGGGUUUAAGAAAUAAUCAAGAUUGCUGAUUUCUGACAUAGAUUUAAAUAACAAUGAAGCCCUCUCCUUUCUUUCAGGUAAUUGUUCUUGACUUUCUUGUUUAGAAGAUACAUGUUCUAAAAUUUUUCCUGAAGCAACUUCUACAGGAUGAUUAUCAAGUAGAGGCAUGCAAUCAGAAAGCAACUUCUUCAACUCUUCAUUUUGUUUAAUGUCACAUUCAUCUAUGGUAUCAUCACAGAAAACUAGAUCAAAUACCAAUUUUCCAUCAUCAAAAGAUGUUCCUCCAAAAUCUUGGUUGUUCAGAUCUAUCUUGGCCAAUAUGUUCUGAUACCAGUUAGAGAUUUUGCAAUUGCACUUAUCUUCUUCAAGUAGAUCCCAGUUUAAGUAAAUCCCAUCAGAGGCAGAGAGAGGUCGGGUCUUCAAGCUGGAAAAUUGUUCUACGAUGAUGUCAUGUAGAGUUAUCAUCUUUAUGUGAUCAUAGAUAACAGGUACAGGCAGUGAUUUGAACGUGUCAUCUGUUAGUGCUAUCUCAUUACUAACAAUCAAUUCAUCAAAACUCUUGAAGUUAAACUCUUUCUUAAACAUCCACUCGUAUGUUACUAGAUCAUCUGAAGCUUUUGUGUCAUAGAAAGCUUCAAAGGUUUGCAUUAAGUCUUUGUCAAGGAACGCAAACUCUUGGAAGGUAACAAGAUUCAGUAUCAAAUCACUGUUAGCAUGCCAUGUCCUUUGCAGGCCAAUAUUCCUAUCAACAAGUUCAGUUUCCAGCAAAUUCAUAAAAUCCCUUUCAGGAAACAGAUCAGAUAACUCCAGACUCUUCUUUGAUACACACUCAUCUGAGAAAAACUCCAUCAUGUUAUGCUUCAUAGAACCCAAAAGCUCCUUGCCCUCUAUUACAGAUUGAUAUAGUUCAUCAAAAUUUUGAGAUCUGAUAUUUUCAAAAUAUGAGUCAACAAUUUCUACCAAAGAGAAGCGCGUGGGAAUUCCCAAAGUUUCCUCAUCCACUUCCAAAAUAAGGAAUUUGUUUUUAUCAGAGUGUGGCUGGUGAUGAACAGAAAUAUUAUCUUCUAGAGAAUAUGCAUUUCCCCCCAUCAAGUACUCUGAAAUUACAUCUUCUACCAAAGAUACUGAUUCCAGAGCCUCAUACGGGUAUUGCCUUGAUGGUUCAGGCUUGAGCAUGUCCUGCAAGGAAAAUAGAAUAACUUAUUCUCUCUGAAGUUUGGAAACAAACAAAUGAAUGGAAAAUAAAUAAUAAAAAAUUGAAAUUUUUCCUUGUGUCCUAUUACUAUUACUAUUACUGUAUGACCUAUGUAAGUCCAAUUCCACUCUUAUUUGAUGGUUCAUAUUGAAUGAUGCAAAAAGUUAUCAACAUUCCAAGGAUAAUACAGAAACAAAAUCCAUUCAGCUCCUCCAUAUUUCAAGUUCAAUAGCAAAAACUGCAUUAAUAUAUUUUAUACUUAGAGAACACAUAAUCAAAGCUUACAACAAGAGAGUAAUGUAACUAUUCCACCAUCCAACUAUCAGACUCAUUUACUGAAACAGUACAUAGUUCAUAUGAGUGUCUAUAAAAUAUAACAUCGUUACCAGGCUAUUUUCAACUUCUGAAGUUUGAGACAGCAUUUGCAUCCUCUCCGUCUCAGUGACAUAAACAUUUUCCUUUAAAAUACAGAGAAAUAAAAUAUAAAAAAAACGAAGGUAAAGAUUGAUUCGAUUGAAUGAAUUUUCUUAAAACACAGAAGGUUAUAUUAUAUAACUACAAAAUUAGAAAGAAGAAUCUCACCAAGAACGCGUCAAGCUCUGGUGUUUCGAAUUGAAUCGCCUCAUAAACAUCAUCGUUCUUAUCAUUGAGAGCAAUAGUUUUACUCUCCUGCGAAUAAUAACGAUAAGAUCUUAUCUAAAUAAAUAAUUAAAUAAACAAAAAAAUGCAGCAAACAAGGAGCAUUAAAUAAUUUAAUUGAUAAAUAUACAUUCGAAAAUUUGAUAUCAACUUCGGAGACACAUUCUUCGAAGAUAACCUCCGCCUCUUGCUGCAGCGCAAUCAAAACAUCCAAAAAACACGAGCACACUCAGGAAGCUUCAUACGAAAGUAAACAUUGCCCAUAGAAUCACAAUUUCACAGUGAAAUUCUAACAGCGACGAUAAUCAACACCGGCAAAAACAAACGCAACACGUUGCAAUUUCGAGACUCCACUCUUACCGCGAGCUAACGCAAUUGCUCAUAGAAUCACACUUUCAUAGUGAAAUUUUAACAGCGACGAUAAUCAACACGAGCAGGUUAGACAAACGCAAGCUCAAAAUUCACGUUGCGAUUUCGAGUCUUGAGGCUUACCGGGGGAUUCGACGGAGCUGUGUGGAUUCGGUGAGGUAGGACGGCGGAGAGGAAGGUGGAGAGCACGGCGUCAACGGGGAAGGGGUCGAGGUGGAGGGAGAGGGGGAUCGGAGGACCAAAGCGGAGGUGGUGGUAGACGGCGUAUGGCGGCGGCGGAAGGAGGCGAGGGACGGGGAGGUGGAGGAAGGGGAAGGUUUGAGGUGGAGGGAGAGCGAAGUAGUCAUUGUUGAGAAAGCGAGUUCGCAUUUUUCUGAUGAAGGUGCUACUAACGGACUCCGAAAUUGAUUUGAAUUUGGCGCUAUAAGUUUGGUAUUUAUAGCGCGUGAGAUUUGGAUUCGCUUAGAUGACCCUAAUUUUGGAUCCGGUUCCAAAUUCCAAUUCUUUGUUUUUUUAUUACUUAUUUUUUUUAUUUUAUACACUCUUUUUGUGUUUUUUUUUGGAUUUAUCUAUUUUUUUAGAUGAAGGAUUUUCGUUAAUUGUCUUCUCAUGAAGUUGUUAAUUUACUUCUUUUUUGGUUGACAAAAGGAGUAAUGCCCAAAGAUGAAGUUGUUUAAUUAUUACUAAUUUUUAUGUGGGAAAAAAUUGGUUGAUGUGCAUUAAAUCAAAUUAUUAUGAAAACCAAAUUCGUUGUAAAAUUCAGUGCUGAAUACUUUUUUAUUUGAUUUUUUUUUCUAAAUUCUACCGUAUAUUUUAAGUGGGGGAAAAAGCAAGUCGUGAAGCUUUAAAAGAAAUGAGUAAGAGCACAAGAAAUUGUUGAAUUGGAAUUUUCGUUUUCUUUAAUUCUUACCUGCGAUUUUGAUCCUUUUUAAUCUCCCGCAAUCCUUUUUGCCAAAGAAGUUCGGUUCUGUUUUUAUCAAUUUGGUUCGGUUUGAUUGUUUUUUUUACACUCCUGGAGGACAAUUAAUAUCCACAUCUCUCAAAGGAAUAUAAUAAACUCUUAAUUCUUUUGUUUGAUAAAUAAUAUUUUUUAAUGUAUCUAAAGACUUGUAUUUGAUGUUUCACAUGCUUCAUGCCCAAGGUUGGCCAAUAUCAUUCGAGUCAUCUCAGUGAAUUGAAGAAAAUAAAUAAGGAAAUAACUUGAACUUUCCUUGGCUUCUAUAAACCCAAAUAGUCCACACAUUUCCAUGCUGGGUGAAAAUGACAGUUUCGGUGAGUUUCUGCCAUUUGGAUUAGUCAGCGUCCUUCUAAAUAUAGCAUUGUAUUGAGUAUUUGACAGAUAGUAGCAACACUAAUUUAUCUAUUAUCCAUUUCUCCUUUUUAAUGCAUAAUAUUAUCCAAGACGUACGUACGCAAGAAAGAACGGUUUGUUCCUACUUCAAAAGCUCUCGUGGUGUAUGAGAAUGAGCCACGUGUCUAAAUCUAGUCAACACGUGUCAAGAGACAACGAUGUGUCGGUUAUAUAUGUCACACGUGUCUCCAGUUUUAAGAUGCCAGAGACAUGCAAAGGUGGCAAAACAUUGUCAUGCAUGUCCUUCUUUAUAAACCUUUGUCUGGAAACAUUUCUCACAACGAGUACAGUGUACGUAGAAUCAAUUUCCUAUUCAAAUUCAAUCAUGGAUUCAAGAGCAGUUCAAACUCAUGCGCAUGAACAUCACCAUAUUUCCCACAAUGUUGGGUCACACGAAGGUAACAAUCUCAUUUAAUUUGAAUUUGUAAGUUUAAUUUGUUUUUACAAGAACUUUUGUUUGCUUCCUCUAGUGGGUAUGCAUUAAUUAAUUUGUUUGAUAUUUUGCUUCAAAUUUUUGGAUGUAGUGCCACGUGGUGAAGAACACCACCACCAUGACCAUGAGAAGAAGUCGGUUCUUAAGAAAGUCAAGCAAAAGGCUAAGAAAAUUAAGGACACAAUUACAAAGCAUGGCCAUCAUCAUGACCAUGAUCAUGAACGUGGUCAUGGGUAUCACUACGAUGAUCAACAUAUCCCUGAUGAUCAUGACUUGGGUGAGGAAGAUGAGGUGGAUGAAUACCCAGAAGUCCAUGGAGCACCGAGUAAGUUAUUUCCUAGCACAUUAGAAUUAAUCAUUAUAUGUUCAACUCUUUCUGUAUCCUUUUCUUAAGUGUUGGGAAUUCUCAUGGGUAGUUUAACAAGUGCCAAUAUGCCUUAAGACUACCUAUACAUUAGUUGGUCAAUUAUCAAUUAAUGUCAAGUAUUCUAGAAGAAAAUUGGAGCCUUUAAAUGAAAAGAAUCAAGAAAAAAAAAUUGAUUUCUUGGGUUAGUUAUAAUAAUAGACAUGAUUGUUCUGCAGUUUAUGACAGUGCACCUGUUAGAGGUGCAGCACCAGGACAUGUCAAUCCUUUAGGGAGGCCUGGAGUUAACUUUGGAGGUACAACAGUUAUGGGAGAACCUCAUCAUGAGCCAAGUGUCAUAGUUGUUUCUCCAACUACUGGAAUUAAUCAAAGAGGAUCAACUGACCCAACUAGAACAUUUGUUGAGGGAGCCAAAGCAGUGCAUCCUAAGGUCAAUUUGGAGAGACCAAUGCACUUGGAGGAAGAUCCACAUGCGCCAAGGCGUACAUCUCAAGCAUAUGCUCCACCCAAUUAUCAAACAAAAGUCACUGAUCCCACGGGGGCAGGUAAGUUGAACAAAGCAGCAUAACUCAAUUUUUAAUGAUCUGUUCAACUUACCUGCAAUUAAGGAUUCCUUGAUGUAUAAAAGAUGAUGUGUUAAUAGCUGGUUAAAUUGAUAAAAUGUUGUGAUUUUGUGAGGUCCUCAUGUGGUAUUUUGUGAGAUCCACAAGUUCUAUAAUAAUCCAAACUAGAAUUGCACUAGAAGUUGUGUCGUAUCAUCUUUUGUGUGGACAAAUAUUUAACAUGAACUAUAUUUAACAUCUUCAAUGUGUGAUUUCUUUUUUGUUUACUCGGGAGUCAUUCAGAGGAUGUGGUGCUUCUUGUUAACAAGUAGCAUUAGCAAGCAUACCUUGAGCUAAUUAUAAUCCUAUUCUCAUGCCAUUUUAUUCAUUAUCUCUUAUGGCUAAAAGGUGGAGCAGAAAUUGACAUCACCACAGUUGAGAAAUCUUUCUCCAGGAUGGCUGUUCUCAACGAGCCAAAACCUUACCCAGAACCAAAACUCUUUCCAACUAUUGCUCAAACCCACUACCCUUCUUCUGUAAGCCACUCCCAAUUCGCGCCAGAGCAUUCCACUGCAAUGAACUACCCUUCUGCUCAAAGCUAUGAUCAUUGCAUGCCAGAACUAUCCAGUGAAGUUAAAACUCAGUACCCCAAAAGCCAUAAUCAGUUUACGACAGAGUUAUCUACACCAACCAAAACUCCCUACCCUUCCCCCAAUAUCCAUGGCCACCACUUGCAACAACAAUCUAGUGCAACAAAAACCUACCCUUCAUCUGGAAGCCAUGACCAGUUUGCUCCAAUGUCAGAGUUACCUACACCAACCAAACCUCAAUACACUUCUACCAAAAUCCAUGACCAACCCUUGCCAUUGCCACAACAACCUAGUGCAACAAAAACUCAAUACCCUUUACCUGGAAGCCAUGACCAGUUUGCACCAGUGUUAUCUACUGAACCUAAAAUUCAGUACCCUUCAACAAAAAUCCAUGGCCAACACUUGCCUCACCAGUUUACUGCUACAAAAACUCAAUACCCUUCAUCUGGAAGCCAUGAUCAGUUAAAACCAGAAUUAUCUUUCUCUACUGAACCUAAAACUCCCUACCCUUCUUCUACCAAAAUCAAUGAUCACCACUUGCCACAACACUCCAGUGCAAGUGCAACAAAUGCUCAAUAUCCUUCAGCUAGAAGUCAUGAUCAGUUUCUACCUGAAUAUUCAAGUCAAACCAAAACCCCAAAAACCUAUGGAGACAACCAAACCACUCAAACAAGGCAUCAAGAAGAGAACAAAGGCAAUGAUAAACCAUCAACAAUCUCUUUAGCAACAGCUGCAAUAGCUGAUAAAGCCGUGUCAGCCAAAAACACCGUGGCUUCUUCGCUUGGAUAUGGAUAUGACGCUGACACUGAAACAACUCAAUCAAGGGACCACGAUGAGAACACCCACGGUGAAAAACCAUCAGCAAUCUCUUCAGCAGCCUCUGCAAUUGCUGAUAAAGCCGUCUCAGCCAAAAACAUAGUCACUUCCAAGCUCGGAUUUGGCGACAACACUGAAACAACUCAAACAAGCCGUCAAGAGAGAACACAACCAUCAACAAUCUCAUUGGCAACAGCUGCAAUAGCUGAUAAAGCCGUCUCAGCAAAAAACACUGUAGCUUCCAAGCUCGGAUACGGCGACAGCACUGAAACAACUCAAACAAGCCAUCAAGAACAGAACACAGGCAAUGAAAAACCAUCAACAAUCUCAUCAGCAACCUCUGCAAUCACUGAUAAAGCUGUAACUGCCAAAAAUGUUGUAGCUUCAAAGCUCGGAUAUGGCGACAACACUGAAACAACUCAAACCACUCUAGCAAGGAAUCAAGAAGAGAACACAGGCAACGAGAAACCCUCAACAAUCUCAUCAGAAACCUCUGCUUUAGCUGAUAAAGAUGCCUCGGCAAAAAACAGUGUUGCCUCUAAGCUUGGUUUCGGUGACACAGCAAGAACACAUGAAGAGAAGAGAAC
rnacentral:lncRNA from 1 species